rnacentral:lncRNA from 1 species
ACUCCUCCGGUGAACAUAUCAUAGUAAGCACCUUGAUUUAGCAGAUAGCUCUUAUCAUCAAUGAUUGGAAUCCAUAAAGGAUAUUCAAUUUCAGCCAUCCUAAUAAAUUCCUCCGUAGCUAAAUUCACAAGCAUAGUAGCUGUUGCCUUAUCAAUGAUAGUCUGUCUAGAUAAUGGCCUGAUUAAUUCUUCUUCAACAACCGUCUCUUUAGUAACAUUUUGUUGCCAUUCUCUGGAUGCGAUCAUAGCCUCAGGAUUAGCAGAGCUACUUGGACCAACUGAAGAGGAACCAACAUUGUUAUUGGCAAAUUUCUUGCCAGCGUAUUUGGCCAUUAGGUCUGUCAAACGGGCAAUCUGGAAAAGAAAACGAAGUUCAAGUAUUAGUAAUAAUUGACAAAUGCUCAAAAAAAAAGAAGUAAUAAUGGAUAAAUGCUUAAGUUAAGAAAUUUGACAAAUUAGUAGAAUUUUAGUACCUUUUCUUUAAGCCAAAUAUUCUUCAUCCUCAACUAAUGUCGAUCAAGAGAAUCAUUACUUGUAGCUUGAGAGUUAGCACAAGUCAAACAACAAACAUUGAUAAGAGCUGUUUUAAACUUUAUGUUCUCCUCACGAAGCUUUUCAUUCUCAAGCUUGAGAUGUGCAUUUCUCGCACGUUUUGUGUGUGCCUACAAGAAACCUUAAAGUCAUCAACAUUCACAACAAGCAAAUUUUCACUGACUAUAGUGUGACAAAGGUUUUCUUUUUUGUCGAAAUGAUAGGAUAAUUUCAUUAUAGUGAAGAAUUUACAUAUGCGAGUAACGGCUCAAGAGAACUGUACAUUAAGUGUUCAAAGACACUGAGGAAAGUUUCUUUCCUCAUCCAAAAUAAUGCCUAAGGCAUCAACACUUAGUUUUCUACUAUCUUCCAUAUUUUCUUCCCUAACCACACAAAAGGAGCACAUGCAAAACAAACUCUGCAUGUUAGCGAUAUCUUCCAGCAAAGUGGCCAUUCUACUGUCUAAGGGUCUCCGUUGAGUUAUUUGUCUCAUCAACUCCUUGUUAUGUGAGUUGAGCUGGACUUUACUCCACUGAUAUUGUGCAGCUUUGCAUAAGACCAGUUUGAUUGCCACCGCGUCAUCUUGGACUUUGUUCCCUAAACUUCUCUCUUUCAAAGCCCAUUCUGCAAUUCUAGUGUUUAGAGUUAUCCUAGCUGUGACAUUGAUACCAAGUGAGGUUUGUCCUUUCUGCCUAGUCGUUGCCACGUCCAAGACUAUGGUUCCUUCAGCUUCUUGGCCCUGGCUUUGCUGUACAUGCAUGUAUGCUAUUUCUUCUAUGCUCUUCCUUCCCUUAGAGUUCUUCAUUUCUUCCUGUUCCAACCAUUCUUUAUGAGCUCUUUCAACUAUUUUAACUGGUGAGGAUCUGUUAGAGCUCUCAAAUUCAUUUUUGUUUCUAUAUUUCCACACAUGCCACAAAAUAUUAGCAGUCAAACCAAUGUGUUGCAUUCCUUCCGGUCUUUUCCUUGCCUCUGAAAUUCUGAGCCACCAUCUUUUAAAGUCUCCCUGCUGGUCUUUAGCCCCAUCCUAUUGAAUAGGAGCAGCCUUCCAUAUGUCCACAGUGUGAGAACAGUUUAGCAGUAGGUGUUCGAUCGUUUCCUGUUCUUCCCCACAUGUUCUGCACAUUGGAUCACCAACUCCUGUUUUUUUGCACACUACUUCUCUUACAAGCAAUGCUCCUUUUAAACACUUCCAAAUGAAAAUCUUAAUUUUGUGUUUGAUAUUGAGCUUUCACAACGUGUGUCACAUCUGUUUAACUUGUUGGCUCUCAUCUGUGUAACUUGUGCCAGCUUCAUCAGUUUUGCAUUUCCUUACACUACUAUUUUCCUCCAUUAGGAUGUUAUAGCCUGAGCUGACUGUAUCAGUUCCUCCUGCCUGUGGUUGCCAAAAAUAACUGUCUUCCCUCCCUAUCAAGCUUAUAGGAAUACUUAGAAUCCUCUCAGCAUCAUCCCUGUUGAAAGUCCUGAAAAUGAUGUUCUUAUUCCACCUUUUGUGACAGAUUAGUUCAUUCACCAUCUUCAGCUCACAAUUAAUAGGUCUACUAGAAGUUGGUUUACCUGUGCUUGACCUUGGUAUCCAUUUAUGAUCCCAAACACUGGUACUCCUCCCAUUUCCUAUUCUCCUUAUCAGAUCUUUAUCAAUUAAGCUCCUUUCUCCCAUUAAUCCUUGCCAGAUCCAAGAGGCAUCCUGGGGUGUUUUGCAAUUUAAAAUGGACUCCUUGGGAAAAUAUUUAGCUUUCAGUACCUUGCUGACUAGGAGAUUUGGCUUGGUGAGAAUCCUCCAAACCUGCUUCCCUAACAGUGCCUGAUUGAAGGCUUCAAGGUCCUUAAACCCCAACCCUCAUUCACUUCUCUUCAUUGCUAUUCUUCCCCAGGAAAUCCAAUGCAUUUUGUUCUUACUAUUUGUUUCCCCCACUAGAAGUUGGCCAUCAGUGCACUAAUGUCUUUGCAAAGUUUCCUUGGUAAUUUAAAGCAAGACAUGGCAUACGUUGGCAUGGCCAUUGAAACUGCUUUCAACAUUACAACUUUCCCUGUUGUGCUAAGGAACUUGUUUUUCCAGUCCUGCAGCUUCCUUUUUAUGUUUUCUCUUACGAAGCCAAAAAUCUGAUCCUUAGUUCUUGAGAUCACCAUUGGAAGACCCAACUAUUUCCCUUGUUUUGCUUCAACCAUCCCUCCCAGUGCAUAUCUCUUCCCUUUGCUCACAGUACAUGUUCCUACUAAAAAAGACUGCAGAUUUGUCAAGGUUGAUCAGUUGUCCUGAAGCUGCUUCAUAGAUUUUGAGGACUUUCAUGAUUUCAGUGGCCUGUUGCUUGUUAUCUUUGCAGAAAAUGAGGGAGUCGUCUGCAAAGAAAAGAUGAGUAAUAAUAGGUCCUUGCCUGCUGAUUUUCAGUCCUUUGAUCCUGCUACUUUCUUUAGCUUUCCUCAGUAGGUUAGAGAAACCUUCUGAGCAGAUUAAGAAUAAAUAAGGAAACAAGGGAUCUCCCUGGCGUAAUUCCCCUUCCUGGUGACACAAAACCUUUAAUUUCUCCAGUGCAGUUGAAAGAAUAGGUUACAGUCUUCAUGCAGCUGGUGAUCCAGUUAAUCCAUUCUGUACAAAAUCCCAUCCUUUUCAUCAUUGCCUGCAAAAAAUUUCACUCCACCUUAUCAUAAGUUUUGGCUAUAUCUAACUUGAUUGUCAUAUAACCAUCUUUCUCUUGUCUUUUAUUUUUGAGGUAGUGCAUGUACUCAUGAGCUAUAAUCACAUUGUCCAAUAUCUGCUUAUCUGGAAUGAAAACAGAUUGAGUUUUGCUUAUGCAUUUAUCCAGGACAGAUUUCAGUCGAUUGGCCAGGAUUUUAGAAAUGAUUUUGUAUAGCACACUGUAAAGGCUGAUAGGUUUAUAGUUUUUCAAACUGGUUGGGUUCAGGAUUUUGGGAAUCAGAGAGAUAACAGUAUGGUUGAUAGAUUUAAGCAUGAAACUUGAGCUAAAGAAAGCUUUGAUUGCUGGGAUAACAUCACCCUUAAUGAUGUUGCAGAACCUUUGAAAAAGCAAAGGUGACAUCCCAUCUUGUCCAGGAGCUUUUUCAGGGUGCAUCGAGAAAAGUGCAGCAUAAAUUUCAUCCUCCUCCAUUAUUUUAGUAAGCUUUUCAUUCAUCUCCUGAGUUAUGGAGUGUGGAAUACCCUCUAGAAUUUCUGACAUAUCACUCCUCCCUCCACUAUUAAACAAUUCCCUAAAGAACUUAGAAAUUUUAGCCACUACUUCAUUCUCAUUCUCUGUCCAAGAGCCAUCCUCCCUUUGCAAUUUUCUAAUCCUAUUGUUCACUUUCUUCCCCUUAACAUAGGUGUGCAAAUACUUGGUAUUUUUAUCACCAUCUCUUAACCAGCUAAUUCUUGCUUUUUGACUCCAGAAAUUUUCUUCCUCCUUGUAUGCUGAUUUCAACUGAUAUUUGAUUUCUGCAUCUAAGUCCUCGACUCUCUCCAAUUCCUUUUUCAGGUCAGAGAUUCUACUCUUAGAAUUUGCCUGGAAUGAAUUCCUCCAUUUCAGAAGUUCAAUUCUGCAGUUUUUGAUCUUCUUAGUAAUUCUGAACAUUCUAGACCGUUGUUCCACCUUUUGCCAGGCUUUCUCCACCACCUGUUGAACUCUUUCUCUUUGAAGUCAUCUCUUAUCAAAAUAAAACCUCUUUUUCUUUUUUUCCUUAUCUGGGGCUGUGUUUGGCAAUAGCAUACAGUGAUUAGAAGCAAAUGUAUCAAUGUGCUGACAUCUUGCCUUUUCAAAAUCUUGGAACCAUUCAAAAUUGCAUAAACAUUUGUCUAACCUUUGUCUUACCUCUCCUUCAUUAUCCCAAUGAUUGCUCCACGUCCAAGGUUGUCCUUCAAAGUUAAUAUCUAUCAAACAAUUCUGGUCCAUGAAGUCUUUAAAGUCCUUAAAGCUCCUCUCCUCUCUGACUACUUCUCCCCAUUUUUCUUCAUUGGAUAGAAUAUCAUUAAAGUCCCUAGCAAUCAUAAAUCUAGUUCCCCACAACCUUUUCCUAUCACUCAGGACCCUCCAUUUUUCCUUCCUGAUCAGAAGCUCACAGCUAGCAUAAACUCCAACAAACCACCAGACAAUCUGAGUGUUAUUGUCUUCUAUUUUAGCUUCAAUGGUAAAUGCUGUUCUGUGUACCUCCAAUAUCUGUGUUUCUUUUGUCCAAAACAAGGCCAUUCCACCUGCCUUAUUCAUUGCUUCUACUGCCACGUUACUAUCAAACCUGAGACUCGAGCAACUCUAUCUAUGGCUUGUUUCCUAUUUUUUGUCUUAUUUAAGAAAAUCAGAUUUGGAGAGGAGAGGUUGUUCACCUCCCUCAGAUAGGGAACUGUCAAGGGGCUCCCCACUCCUUGACAGUUCCACACCAAGACUCUCAUUUCCCUUGGGAGGUCCCAUUAAGGAAGGACCCCACUUCCUCUCCACUCAUCUCAGAAGAAUACAAUUCGUCCACAGGUUUAGUCUUUUUCCAUUGCACCAAACCUUUGUUUACCUCCUCCAUCUCUUCAUCCCUAAUCAGUACAUUCCUCUUACCAAUAUUUAAUUGGCUCACUUCAUUCCCAUUUAUUUCCUUCAAAGGCCUUCUGGUUUUAGUUGGGGACUUCAACCUUCUAAACAUCCUUUUGGUUUGCUUAUCUAUAGCUUCCUGAACCUUCCCAGUCCUUUGGAGUUUUUGUUGGAUCACUAACUCCCCUACAGUAAUCACUCUCACUCUAUUUUCUUGAUCCUUCUCUUGCAAGUCUAAACCUCUGUCCUUCUCCAUUUCUUCCACCUCAGUUGGGAUUUGUUUCACUUCCUCAGCCUGUAUCACUAGAGAGAGAUCUAGCUUCCCCUUAUCUAGGCACAAGGAACCCUUACUGCAUCCUUGUGCAGAUUCCUUAUCUCCCAGUUCAAUUGGUGGCUCUCCCAAACCUUGUUCAAUCCUCAUAUCCUCCAUUUCCUUCAUUGGGUCGUGGUUGUUUUUUCCUUCCUUAUCAGUGGUCUUAAGAAUUUCCAACAAUCUUUCAUUUAUUUGAGUCCUGAUUCUCUCCUGCUCUACCAUUUCUCCAUUCUAGAAUUUUCAGUAUCUUUUGUCACUUGACAGAUCAGUCCUAACUGGUUUUUUUGUGGGGAAUUUUUAUUAUUUCCUGCUCUCAUCCAGGGCCCGUACUAGUUUUCUAAGAUGCUUCCCACUAUGGUUCUCUUCUCUUUGCAGGAUCUUUCACUGUGCCCUACUAUCCUACAGUUGUAGUAAAAAUCUGGGCAUCUUCCAUACUUAAAUGCCACCCACUUCAUAAAUCCUGCUAAUUUUACCAUUGUUCCUCUCAGCAGAGGCUUGGACAAGUUUGUUAAGGCUAGAAUUUUCAAAUGUCUACCCUCUUUGCCCCCUGACUGAGGGAUAACCAUCUCUUUAACUUCUUUGAACACUGUCCCAAUCUUUCUUCCUACCUCUUUAGAUAGCCAGUGUACUGGCAGAUUCCAGACCUGCACCCAUAAAGGUGUGUUCACAAAAGCUUUAAAAUUUUCUUCUAUUCCUUCUGACCACCUGUUCAACACUAACAUUUGAUUAUCUAUCAUCCAAGGGCCACCUUCAGCAAUGCUAACUUUGUCAUCAGGGUUAAGGAUGUUAAAUUGAAACAAAUUGGUUCCCAGCUCCAUCACUGUCGAAAUUUAUUAUGGAAUGUAUAAAAUAUAGUUAGUUAAUUACCUCAUUUUGCAUACGCUUAUUUUGGAACCAGUACUUCACUUGCUUUGGGUCCAAUCUUAAGUCGCGGGUAGAGCUGUUAAUCGAGCCGAGUAUUUGGCUGCCGACCUCGACUCGAGUUUAAUUCGAGCCGAACUUGACUCGAGCUCGUUAGGAAAACGUGUUUUAAAAUGUGUUCGAACUCGACUCGUUAAAUAUACAUGUGGCUCGAGCUCGAGCUCGAGCUCGAUUCGUUUAUCACAAACGAGUCGAGCUUCACGAGCUCGAGAUCGUGCAAAUUAACCUUAAUAAAAACCUAUAAUUUUUAAUUUUUAUAAUUUUGAUUUCUAAAAUGACAAAUAUGCCUUUCAUUAACGAGCUCUAACGAGCUACUCGAGUAUCAAACGAGCCGAGUAAGCUCGGCUCAUUAACUAAACGAGCAUGUUUCGAGCUUGAGCUCGACUUGUUAACCAAAAUUAACGAGCCGAGCUCGAACCUUAACGAGUCGAGCUCUAACGAGUUUUCGAGCUACUCGAUUGACUUAACAGCUCUAGUCGCGGGCAAGUUGUACCUUUUGUGGUUUCUUCGGCUUAGGACACUGUUUGAAAAACCUAAAAAUUCGAGAAAAAAGAAUGGGUUUAGACACACAAAAAAUGCUAAAUUUUGUUGAAUGUUUCUAUACUUCAGGUCAAGAAUUAUGUAGCAAUUGGUAAAUUUAAGAAUUUUCAAAAGCUUACUCUUCCAUUUCAUGAAUUUGUUGAGGGGUGUGGCGAUGGUAACCUUUUCUCUUAUGGCCAUCUUGGUUAUCUUCACUCGAUUUGUGGGCAUCUUCAUCGUCCGGAAUGCCAUGAUCAGAUGCAUAUGACAUCACAUCAGCUGGGAGAAUAUUACUAUUUCCAGGAUUAGCUUGAAAAGAGUAGCAAACGAUGUUAAGAUUAAAAUCUUGAUUCUUUUGAUAUAUAAAUGAAUCACAUGAUUGAUUCUUACAAUAAUUAAACGUGUUUGAAAAAGAAAAUAAGAGUAAUGGUUUAAAAAAUUAGAACUAAAAGUAAUUUCCAAUACCUUAUUUUGAUUGACUACAAAUUAGAUUUAUAUGUCUUUGUUUGUUCAAAGUACAUAGAUGUUAAGUUUGAUAUAUAUGGAAUGACUUAAUAGAUGUUUGUGAAUUAUUCACCAAAUUUUGUACAUUCUAAAGUAUCUUAUGUUUCAUUGGCAAUAGUCCCAAGCUGAAUUGCAAGAAAUGGAUUAAGAUGGAGCUGACCAAAAUUUAGCACUACUUUUGUUCCUCGGUUAUAUUAAUACCUUUUUCCAAGUUUCUUAUUAACUUAAGAAAUUAUAAAUUCCAAGUUUUCAAUUGAAUACUUUAGAGUGAUAAAAUGAUAUGAUACUUAUCAAAAUUUUUGAAUGAUGUUGUAGAAGUAAUGAAGGCUAAAAAAUCUAACAAAUUUUUUUUGGCCUUCUUAUCUAUUACAUAUACCAAAAAACUAAAGAUUGAAAGACAAAGCAAUGAUUUCCUUUUUUCCGUAUGAAACUCUAUAAGAUUUUUCUUUCUAUAAAUAGGCAAGACAUUAAUUAUGCUACUAACAUUUAAAAGAUGAAAAAAAAAAGCUAAAGAAAUGAACCACUACUAAAAAUGACGCAAACAUGAAGUGAUAUUCAAUGGAGUUUUUGAUGAAAUGAAACUGAAAAAUGUUUUCUAGAGUUGACCUAUCCAGCAAUAAUCCCAGAAGAAGAUGCUAAUUGUCUCAUUUCCUUCAAUGACCACCGGAUGUUGUCCAAUCAUAAUUGUUCUCGCCAUUUCAAACUCACAAAAGCCUACAAAAUCCUGUACAAAUAGAUAAUUGUGUUAGGAAUUGGUUAAUUGUGAUUAUUAGUUUUCUUAUCAUUUUUUUACUUUUGCAGUACAACUCUUAUCCAUAUAUUUUUUUCCUUUUGUUUUAGUUUCUUGUAAUCACAAAUGAUAAGAGAAAUCUUACUUGGAUGAGUUUAUUAGAUAACAAUAACACAUCCUCAAUUUUUUGCUUUCUAUGGAAAAUAGUAUGUGUUUUCCUAGAGUUCUAGCAUCAAUUGACUAGAAAAAUAAGCCAAAGUUCAACGCUAGAGGUAAUAAAGUUUUUUUUUAAGUGUAAGUGGGAGGUCACGAAUUCCGGAUCUCUUAUUUACACUCCCUUCUCUCCUACCAUCCAAUCCAUUCAUUUCCCCUAGAGUUAGAGUUAAUAAAGUUCAAUGUAUAAACUAGAUGUAUAAACAAGUCACCAGGCAAGAAAAAAAAUGAUAAGUGCAUAUCAAAGCAUAUCAAAGAUCUCCAUCCCUAUGAGUAAGGUAGUUUUCUCUUCACUAUAUCAAGGUAUAAAUGGAUUUUGAUAUACAAUCACAAAAAUGUCUCUUUCAAGGAACUAUUAAAUCUAGAAGAAUAUAGUGUCUCUAACCCUUUUUCUGUGAAUGCUAAAAAAAUUGCUUAACAAUAGCUGCUUUUUGGGCAAAAAUUUUCACAAUCCUUUUAUGCAAAGAGUGAUGCUAGAGAGAGAUUACAAUAUAUACGAAUUUGAACGAAGAAAGAAUUGGAGGAUAGAGCACGGAUCAAACCUGAAGGGAAGAAUUUCACUACUACAAAAAUGUCCUUUUAUGACAUUAAAAGCGUCAUUAUAGCUCGAUGUAAUGACGUUUGAUCUAUAAUGACGCUCUGCUAGAAACGUCGUCCAUUCUAGCGUCACUAUAAGUUUUAUGACAGUUAUCACGAGUCCUAAUUUAUAGUUCUAUUGGCAUUUAUAAAGGUCAUUAUUUGUCGUUUUAAUGACACUUUCAAAUGACAAGAAAUGCUAGAGAACAGUUAAGGUUAUAUGAAUCUAAAGUGAUACUCUUAGCUGUCAUAUAUUGGAUCUAUCUUGACGCUUCUAUUAUGUAAGUACAAUAAGAUAUUAUGACACAUUUGUAGUAUAAGUAGAAUGAAAUAUUAUGACACUUUUAUGGUGUAAAUAGAUUAGGUUGUUCUGACACUUGUUAACAUGAAAUUUUGUGAAUAUUAUGAACCGCAAAAAUCGAAGUUGUGACACUUUUAAGUGUCAAUACAUCAUAUUGCAAUAGCCUUGUAUACCAUCCGAAUUUUUAUACCCAAAAGCAGAAAUCACAUUUCAUCCUGCCUGCACAAUGUAGAUUCUAAUUUUUGGAAUAAUAAAGUUAUUAGUACCACCUUAUAAAGAAAAACCAAAGUGAUUUACGUUUUCAUAGUAAUUAGUGCAAUACAAUCAGCCAAACUGGUGCAAAAGUAUAUUAUCCAAGCAACUUACAUGGCUGCUAUGUCAACAAAUUACAUGCCAAUUCAGAGAUUUUUCCAUAGUUAUGAGUAUUGCAGUAGCAUUGCCAAUACAUAUCAAAGAAGCAAUAGUUCAACAAGAACUCAACAAAAAACGCAUUGACAAUGCCUUCAAAAAGUAGCCAUUUGACCCAAGGAUCCUUUAGUUUUCUUCAAGAUUCACCUACAAGUGUUAUAAACCAAGAAAUAGAAGUUACAAAUCACAUCUACAGCUCUUCUUUUACAGUUUUAAUGUUAGAAAAUAAAUAAAAACUAAGUUAAACAAAUGAUAAAGAUAAGAUAAAAAGAUUACUGGGUUUAUUGGCCAAGCAAUAGCUACUCCAAUUGCAUCUCCAAUCUUGUGAAAAUUAUGGUAUGGCCUCAUUAACUCUUCAUCAUUCUCCACAAGCAUAUUCACAUGGAUUUCACACCAAUGUGAUCCCAAUGGUGUGUCACCAACUUCAGCAGUUGGAUCCAAAUUUCUAACCACUCCAACAGCACAAAUUUUGUUCGAAUCAACCAUGCUUCUUAUUGUAACUUUAUCCCCAACCUUGAAAACAAAUUUUAUAAAGCAUAUAACCACAUAUAAGAGAGCAAGUCUUGAACAGAUAUUCAAUACAUAGUACCACAAGAACCAACCCAAAAUGACAGCCACGACAAGUACCAAAACCAAAGUGCAGUCCAUUACAAUCAAUAAUGAUAUCCAAAACAAGAAUCUCAACAAUUAAGUAACAUAUAGCAAUUACGAACAUGUUCAUGAAAACCAUUUGUGAACGCAACAUCUAAAGAAAGUCAUAAUUGAACUGUUUAUUACCUUUAUCGGCCGAAGAAUAGCAUUUGAUGACUGUGAAGUAGAUCUUUGCUGAGAUGGUGAACUUUAUUAAAUUGUAGAAUUUUUUUUGCAUCAAUAUUCGGCUGUUCUAUUUCUAAUCUUUCUCUCAUAUCUAGGUCCUAGUUUAGAACUCCUAAUGUAUCUUGUAACAACCCCUGCAUAGCAUCUAUGGGAUUGAGUGGUGGAACUUCAUUUGAUGAGCCAUGUGAAGAUGUAUGAUGCAAAUUCUAAGAUAGCUCUCCAUGAGCUAACCAUUGAGUAGAUCCCUUAAUAAACCCUUUCCAUAUCAAGUGUGAUUUGGCCUGCUCUCUCGUGACAAAUACCCCAUUCCCACACCUAAUGCAUGGCCAUAAAAUCAUCUCCCAUAUACUUCCAUUCAUAAAUGCAAAAUCAAGAAAAUCUUCUAUACCAGCUUUAUACUCAUCACUUGAUCGUGACAUACUCAUCCAUCUUUUAUCCAUGUUCACAUAGAUUCUAAUUAUAUAAAAAAAAAAGCUUCAUUAGCAUCUACAAGAUAAUUCUACCUAAACUAUUACUGAUUUUUGCAUGAAACAUUUACUUAGAUAAGAAAACUAAUUUCAACGAGAUUAAUAGAAGACACAAAUCACUCAUGGAAUAUUACAACAGUAAAGCUACCAAUAGGAAGCUUUUUAAAAGAAUUUUACCAACCCAAAAAAUGCUGUUUUUAAAGCAAUUUACUGUCUAAGCCUAUCAAACUUCAAAACAAAUCAAUUUGAUUAAGUGAGACAGCAAGAAUCAAGAAAAUAUUGCAGCCUAUAAAGCCUAUCACAUUUCCACUUCUAGUAUUGCAGCCUAUAAAGCCUAUCGCAUUUCCACUUCUUGUCUUUUAAAUUUUCAAUAUUCUCAAAAUCUUUGCUAUUCUCUGCUUCAGACACCAACAAAGUCAUGCCACAGACACCAACAAAGUCAUGCCAUUACUACCAGAAGAUAGAACAAUAGAAAAUAAAUACUACUGCUGCUAUUACUAAUGCUACAUUUUGACUACCCAGUCACAAAGACGGGAAUGGAAUAUCCAGGUGUUCUAGACUUUUGAGUAAUAAGAACUAAUCCAAAAGUAUCAAAACAGAAUGAAAUCAAAAGGAAAGACAGCAGAAGUUCAAUUCCAGAUUAUAAGACACAAACUAUCGAACUGAUGGUAGGCACAAAAGAAUAACAGUCUAGGGAAUUCAAAAUUAGUCCAAUAAUGUAGCCAAUAUCAAAUUGAGAUAGAGAACUUGGACAAAAUAUUAGAAACCCAACUAAUCAGCAAUAGAAGUUCUAUCCAAUUGAAAAUAACCGCCACGAACUUUAAUGUAUUGGUAACCUAAGAGUAGCAAAAACUUAAUGUAUAAUUUUGGUUACCAACAACUCCAAUUUCCUCCAAGUGGAAAGGGAAUCAAUGAUCAGUACUUGCUAGAUGGAAUCGAAGAUGAUGGCUGCUACAAACUUGAAACUGCAUUGAUGGAAUAAGCUUGACUUAGUCACCACUUGAUAUAUGCUAUGUAUGUAAGAUGCACUUUGCAUUAGAAUCCUACGGGCAGAGCAUUCUAUAUCAAGUUCAAUACCAAUAAUGCAAAUGUUAACGAAUCAAAACCCAGGUUGACACCUCAACAAGUAGCUACUUGCACAUUUUCCAGAGGGUAGAAAUCAAGUGCUAUUGUGGCAUUAAUAAAAGACUACAGGUUCCAAUUAAGUUUUACACUGACAACAAGACCAUAGUAUCAUAAAAUUUUAAGAUUUGGGGUGUCUAGAUAAAUUUGAAGUCUAAGGUUUCAUAAAUUAUUAUAUGUUUAGAUGUAGGCUUGGCAUAAGUAAUAACCAAUCAAGAAGCUUAUAAUCUAACAAAAUUACAUAAUGGCCCCGUUUGGAAGGUGAGUUUUUUGAGUGUUUGUAUAAAACUUUACUGUAGAUCACUGUAGAAGUUGUAGAAAAACUUUUUUUUGAUAUGGAAAAACUUUUUUUCCUUUUCAUUUUCUUUUUUUUCCUUUUCAUUUUUCUUUUCCUUCCUCCCUUCCCGCUUCUUCUCCCUUCCCCUUUCCUGUUCCCUCUCCCGAAACCAAUGAAGCAGCAACUUGCAGUGCAUUUUUUUUUUUUUUGCUUUUUUUCUACUUUGACAUCUGAUUGUGCUAUGAAAGUCCUCCAAGCCUCUGAAAGUGGUUCGCCAUUUCUCAAGUGCUGGCAAAUCUCAUAAAUCAAUGACCGGGCAUGAUCAAUUGAAGCACUUUGGCUGGCUCUGUCAUGGAGAACAGAAAACUGUGAAGGAACUUUUCUGCAACCCAGCUUGAAGAAAACAGAGGGUGUAAUUUCCACAACUUGAAGAAAAAACAAGGCGUGAUUCCUCCGCUUGAAGGGUCCUGCCCGCUACCCCUCCCUCUCCCUCUCCCCCUCUUCUCUUUCCCCCGCCACCCUUCUCCUCCGCUCUCCCCUUCCCUCACCGCCACUUCAAAACCUGCCGGCAACUAGUGCAGCAACAAACUAUUUCCUUUUCAAUUUUCCCUCUCCCUCUCUUCCCCUCUCCUCUACCGCAUCAACUCUCCCAAUGUCCGACUGAGACGACUCCCUCCUCCGCAAGGCAUUAGCCGACAAGCUGGUUACCACCAAGCCCAAGCCAACACCGUUCGCCAAUGGAAGGCCUCCGAAGCUUCCAAGUCUGAUAUCAACGCCGCCGUCCAAUCCCUCGAUGCCUUGAAACUGGACAAGGCUUCCCUCGAGACCCAGCUCCUCCAAAAUCAGGCAAAGGGGGAGGAUGGUAGGGGGAGAGGGAAAAAGAAAAAAAAAAAAAAAGACCGGCACCAGAAGAGGUAAUCGGCGGCGGAGGUGGUGGCCGGCGACGGAGGUGGUGGUGGGUUGGGGUGGGGGAGGAAGAAGAAGAAAAGGAGAAGGGAAUUUUUUUUUGUGUUUUGGAUAUUUUGAAGUGUUUAAAUAAAAAACUUUGAGAAGUUUUUUUAAAUUACUGUAGCGAAAGUUGGUAAAAAACUAGUAUAAUACAAACUUGGGUAAAAACUUAACUUCCAAACAAGCCAAAUAUCAUUUUAUUACCAUUUCAAAUGUGUUCACGAACUAGGUAGGAACCUUCCCCUGAAAAUGCACAAGGAUUCUAUACUUAAAUAGACUUUUCAUAGACCCAUUUCUUAUGUUGUAUAAACAAAUUGAACUAAUAAUAACUCUUUAAUCUUAAACAAAGAUAUCAAUAUUGGUAAUUGCUAAAAACCAAAUUGACUACUAAGCUUCUUGGUAAACCCACUAGACACACUUAAAGACAUCAUUAGCAAGAAACCUGGUUCCUCUGCAAAUGUAUAAGGAUUGCAUACGUGAACAGAUUUUUCAUUGACCCAUUUCUUUAUAUUGUGUAAACGAAUAGAACUAACAAUAAUUCUUCAAUCUAAAACAAAGAUAUCAAUAUCGGUAUCGACAAUUGCUAAAAACCAAUAACUACUAUGUUUCUAGGCAAAUCCACUAGCCACACUUAUAGUCUUUAUUAGCAUUUAGCAAAUUACCAAAUGAGAAAGCGCUGUAGAAUCAGCACAUAUUUAACAUACAUUUCAACCAAAAAAUUCUCAAGAAGCUUGCAAAUGGAAUACCUAGCAAAUAACCUUAGCCCCCUUUUUUCCUCAUCUCAGAAUCAAAUUUAAUUUACUAAUAAUCAGUUUUUAUUUGAGAGGAGCACAGUAGAAAGCAAAUAAAAAUCAGAAACAUGAGGAUGCCAAUUCAUCGUAACAUGCACUUACAUAUUAGGGAUGGGUGGAAAAGCACUAAUAGUGAGACCGUCGGAAAGUGACGGUGGAGCGAUACACAAAGAGGACCAGAAAAUUCUCACAAAUAUUUGGUCCUUUGUAAUGAAGAGAGAGAAUUGAGAUGAUGAAGCCAGGUUCAGAGUAAAGGAUGGCAAAAUUUUGCAAUUGAAAGGGAAAAUUUUAGCCCAUUCUAAUCGCUAGAAAAUGGGGAAGCUAGGUUAGAUUAAUAGAGAAGAGUAGGAGAGGAAUAAAACCAAUUAAAAUUUUUUGUUAUAGAGGGCAAAAAGAGUAGCACCCAAAUUUACUACGAGUUAGGUGAUGAUUUUUAGUACGUCACUUGGCCGAGUAAGGCACCGCCUGGGCACCCCCUCCGUCACCCACCUCGCUCCUGCCCCGUUUCCCACGCAGCCCCCGAAGAAGAAAUAAAGCAAUAAAAAAAAGCUAUCAAUUUUGUCUAAAAUGUAUAGGUUACCUGGUAGUAAUCUUCCUUCAGAUGUUGUUGUAAGUAGGAGAACAAGUCCUGAGACUUGUUGGCGAUUUCCAAUGAACACCGUGGCUCCACCGUUGCACUUCGGGCCUGACAAAUCUCAAAUCUAAUCGGUUUGCUAAAAACCCAGAUACCAAUUCCCGUUCAAACUCCAUGCUAAAAACUCCAUUCCGUUGUUGAUUAUGCUACCUUCUUAAAAGUUUACAUGUUUGUCUUCAAAUUGGGGAGAAUUAACAAUUGGGUGGAAGAAAGAGAAAGAAACAAGGGAUUCAGUUGUGAGAGGGAUGAAGGAUUUUGGUUUUUUAUAGAGAGAGUUAACGUGAUUGAAGGUUUUAGGAAAGAGUACUAGGAUGAACAAAGAGUAAAGUUCAUUGGACUAGUUAGAAUUUUUCCCAAAAAAAAAUGGCGCUGAAGUGUAGCGCCAUUCUCUUUCCCGCUUUUGUUUUUUUCUUUUCACUUCUAUUUGGACAAGUUAGAGUGAUACGACGUCGUACUCGUCGUUUUCUUUGUCACUUUAAUGACAUUCCCUACUGCAUGUUACAUUAACUUUCUGUUGUGACACUUUUAGGAAAAUGUCAUAUUAAGUGUGUGACUAAAGGUCAUUUUUGUAGUAGUAAAAGCAAGGUGGAAGUUGAGCACGAAUCAGACCUUAGCUGGCUAGCUGAAUGUGACGACCCUACCUUCCCCCUAGGGCGUACCCAAGGGUUUGGUGGACCGCCUGUCCAGCUCUUGCCAGGACUCACUCACUCACUCAAUCAACUCUCAAGAUUAAUCAUUUAAGCCUCCAAAAUAACAUUUAAAUUCUACAAUUCAACCAAAAUGUAAACUUAUUUACAACCCAAAAGCCAAAUGUAUGAUACAACAUCAAAUGUCAAUAUACAUCCUAUUAACCAAAAGUAUAAGUACAAGAGAUUUUACACUCUAGUUCACACUUAAUUGCUUCGAACCUCCAUUCCUGUAACGAAAACAAAAAAAAACUAAAGGAAUGAGUUAAAAACCUAGUAAGGUUCCUAAACAAACAAUCAAGUAGAGAAACCAUAGAAAUAUGGCAUUUAUCAGUUUGAACACUUUGCACAAUAAUAUCCAGCCAUUCAAGAAAUAAACAUUCAAUCAUUGGAAGGAUACGUGCUCACUUGGAGCCAUUCUUUCAAAUAAUUCAUUCAUUCAUUCGCCAACCAUUUUCCUUAUCCCUCUACCAUUAGAAAACGUUUGCAAGUGAAAAUUCCUUCAGUGUUCUUGUCACUCAUUCAUUGAUAUCAUUGCAUUGAAUCUACUAGCCAUUUCUCCACCAGACUUUGCGGUAAUACUUGAGUAUACCAAACAUUGUCCCAGGGUCACCAGCCGCCCGACUGAGUCCACUUCUGUCUCGAGUCGACUGGCAACGAAGGGCAAGGGUCUAGUUCAGCCAAAAGGCUUACAUUCAUGCACAAGUAGCAUUUAAUCAUUGAAAAUUCACUUUUGCUUGGGUCGAGUGCGAUAAAGUACACACUCGCCUAUCGAAAAUCCAUUAGCAAUCAUUGGAAAGCAUUUAACAUUCUAGCAACAUUCACAACAUUUCACAUAGUCAUUUAAAGCAUACUCAUGCAAGGAACACUCAUUAGUUUAAGCAAAAUAACAUCAAAGUUUCCUUCCGGAUUAUGCCCUUGAUCACCGACAAACCCUAAGAAUAACCAAGAGAAAAAUAUUAUGAUUCAACCGUCCAAAAUUUAGGUGAACCAAAGAAAAUCCAAGUGACUACUCGUGCAAAGAUGCAAAUAUGAUUUUGGAGUGAAAGAAACAAGGUAAUGCACCUCUUUAGGUUAGAAUAUUCACUCCAACUCAACAUACAAUUGUUGUUUAAGGUUUUAGCAAGUGAAGUCAACAAGAGUGUAUCCAAAAGACUACCACACUAAAGACUUGGAGGCUAAAAGAUAGCAAAGUGCAAAGCUGCCAUCCAAACCAGAAUUUUUCGCAGCCAUGAAACAAGUACAAUCAUGAGGUUUUCACCUAUCAAUCUCCGUAGUUUUCACUCAAAUCCCCGCACAAAAGUCUUAACCAGGGUUUGGAACAAAUUUUGGCCAAAAUCAAUUAUGAAAAGAUUAGAAAACAACAAGGUAAUAGACUUCAAUAUCACUUGGCCAACAAGUGAAAUUUCAGCCAGCAAAUUGAAGGAAAAUACCAAUGAAAUUCUUCCAUUUCAACCAAAAUUCAACACAUAAGUAAAGCUUAUAGGGUUACCAAGCAUCUUAAGCAAAGUUAUCGCAAAACCAACCCAAACUUGAAGGAACAAGCAGCCCCAAAUUUGGACAACACCUCCCCUUAGUUUCUUUACUUUUCCAUCCAAACUCAACACCACAUCUUAUCUCAAUUCUACCUCAAUCGCAGCCACAAAUCAUAAGCUAUCAAAUACACUUAAUUAAGGCCACAACACCCUCCAAAUAUAGCCAAUUUAUACUCAAGAACCAACCACAAUCAAGCUAAAUUUUGGAAACCCUAAGCUGAAAUUUUCACAUACAAGCUGGAAUUUUCUUUAAGCAAGCCAAACUGGCUUAUAAAAACUAGAUAUUUCACAUAACAAAGCUAUCAACUCAUGGCCAAGCUCAAGCAUCAAAUAAGGGCAGAAACUUCAUCAUAAAAGCUGGAUUUUUCCAUAUCACCAAUUCAAACCAUGAAAUUUCUCAUAAAACUACCAAAAUUGCAACCCUAAACCACUAGUUUGCAAAUAUUUGAAGUAGAGGAAAGUUUCUUGCCAUAAUACCAUAGAACCCUAUGCAAAGAGGCUGCAAAGACCUUUCUCUUCCCAAAUCACUCCACCAAAACCCUUAAACUUCCUUAGAGAUCAACUUUUAUGGUGUAGUUUGCAAGAUUAACGGUUGAAACUCAAGAUUCAAACAAGAAAUUGAGGUUAAAGAUGAAGCUUCUCUCUUGUUUUUCCCUCUCCAUGGUUCGGCCAAGCAAGGAGCAAAAUGGAGAAAUUUUGGGUCAAAUUUGGUUUAGUAAAGGUUAAGAAAGUCUUGAGUCAAAGUUCAACUUCCAACGGUUUCGCGACACUUGGCUCUCCUAGGUUUAUUCUCAUCUCUUUGUCUUCCAAGGCUAAACUAUCUAGCUAACCUCUAAUUAUCUCUUAACACCUUAUAAAAUAAUAUCUCUUCAUGCAAAACUCCACCUAAUUUUCAAAAAUUUAUCGCACUUACCGCAUUAGCGGGUCUCACUUCCAUAAUGCGUUUCAAACUUAACAUGUACUAAUUUAUACAAGAAAAAUGGUUUAAAACCUUAAUUCUCUUAUAAAAAUAUCAAGGAAAUUAAGGCAAUAAGUUAAAGUAAAGAAAAUGUAUUCGAAGAAAUAAAAUAAAGUAGAGAAAUUUUUCCGGGUCCUCACACUGAAACUGUCUAGAGAGGGGGUGCCAAGCACAAUAUAUAAAGUGAAAUUACUGUAACCCAAACAAACUGAAGGAAAAAGACAAGUCAAACAGGUGAGUGUGUAGAAAGGAUGAAUGGAUAAUAAAUAAAUUGAAAUUACAACAAUCCCAACAAACAAAAGGAAAGAGGAAAGUCAAGAAGGAUGCAGUAAUUACGUGCCCAGAAGAUAACUAUGAAAUAUACGUAAUGAACACACCAAAUCAUCCAAUGUUUGUACAAGCCAAGGACCAUAAAGCUUAUUAAGUCCUACUUGGUACAUAAGCUAAUCUUAAAUAGAAAUUCUCUAUGAUAUUAUCUAGUAAUUAAUGGAUAAGUGAACAAGUUAAACAUCUUUUGCUUAGAUUUGCAAACUUUUCUUGUUUCACCUCUAGUACCUUUCCUUUCUUCACCUUAUUUACCCUGCUUAAUUUCUUUCUCCUUUUAUAUUUUAGCUCUGAACAAUUAUACAUUUAUGUUGGCCCAUAGUUACCAAGUCACAUUAUGCAAGAGAAAUCACAAAGAAAGAUGAGGUGUAUAUUCAAUUUAAUGAUUGUUUUAAGAUCACUUAUUAUUUGUCUACCACUGAUUUUUGAUUGGCAAAGACGAUGAACGAUGGCAUUUACCUCCUUUUACAGCAAAGUUACAUUAACAUUCCAGUUUAUAACUAAUUCUAUUAUACGUUGAUAUAUCAUUUUGGAGUCUCUAAUACUAAAAGUUGAAAAAGAAAAGGUUGUAAGAUUGUUUAAUGCAGAAGCUGGUAAUUCCAAUAGGUCACUGAUAAUGAUAAAGCAAAAAUUUAGAGUAGAAAAUUUUAAAUGUUUUUUGGACAGUUAAUCAAUUUUUUGACACUGAAGAGGCGAUUUUUGGCGGGUAGUUGGACCGACCUAAAUCAGACCUCUCUGGGUUGAGGUGAGGUGUAUCCUCGCGGCCGAAGUGGAUGGCGGGGCUUCUCCCCUGGUAUCACUCCGACGAUUAAGUUAGUAUGAGAACGAGAAAGAUAAUAGUAUCUGAAAAAUGAACAGUCCCCUUACUUGUUGGGAGUGUGUGGGGUAUUUAUAGAAUGAGAGUGGAGGGCAGGACGGAGGUCUUAUGCCGGUGGGACCCAUGUCCUGCCAUUACGGCUCUGCUCCCUGUCAGGCGGCCUGGCUCUGACACUGUAGCCUUCUGGGUAUGAUGGCGGAGAGUAUGGUGCAGGUGCCAUUAAGUGCCUCCAGUGCUUUUCAAAUAAAGCACUGGUCCCAGGUGAUGUCAGGUGGCUUGACAUCAUCAGCGUGCAGCUGAGGUGGAGGUGCCGAGGUCACCUGCACGGUAGACUAGGGAUCCGGCCGAGCUUAAGGGAUAUGCUCGAAACACGGAUGAGCUCUGAUGACGGACGAGGUGAGUUCACCUCGGGCAUGCGGGGCGGCCGAGGUGAGCAUCCUCAGACACUUUUUUCUUUUCCUAUGAAAUUGCCUAAUUUGAAGAAAAGUUUGCAGAAAGCAAAACUGGAUGUGCACUAUCAAAAAGCCGUAAAGCUGCAAUGAAACAUCUAAGGAAACCAAAAAAAAAAAAGAAGGUAUAAAAAGUGGUGCUAAAGAGAAAAACAACAAUUGCCAGUCGGCAUUCAUGCCAAAUAACAGAAACUUCACUCUUAAAUUUUUCUUUCCAAUUCUCACUACAGUUAGGCGUCUCCUCUUUGAAUUAACAUAAAAACACAAACGCUUACAUAGAGGACGACAAAAUCAGUCAACUCUCUCAUAUUGAUAUAUGUCCAACUAUCAGAUAAAAAUUACGUAUAAGGAUGAGAAAAAAUUACAAGAAAAUCACUUUGGAUAAAUGCAUGCAAACAAUGUGUUGGCAAAAUGGAAAAAAUUCAUAAGACAUUGAAUACCAAUAACCAAAUUGAGAAAAACAGUAAGCAACAACUUAUUUGAGAAAAUUAAAUGCUUCAACCAUAGUUGUUUCAGUUGUCAAGGACACCACUAGUCAAUCAGGUAGACAUUACUCGUGCAUUAGUCAAAAUACUGUAUAAGAGAAGGAUCCUUUUGAGUAUUUCUGUUUUUGUACUCUCUACUUUCAAAGUGCCUAGAUAAUACCACUCUAAUCUAAUUGAAGAAUUUAACAGUUGCAAAUUUACUGCUUGAAUAAGAACUCAAUACUAUUUUGGGACCAACUUAUUUUUAGCAUCAGUAGUUGCUUGGCUAAUAUCCCUGUUAGUUGAACUAGGUCAUCCACUUUAUAUAUGUCUCAAUUGGUCCACCUAGUUAGAAAUUUUCUAGGGACAAAAAUGACGGAUUACUUGCAAAGUCGGCAUGGAAAGUUUGUAGUUAAAGAUACAGUUAUAGCUUUACAUCAACCGAGGGUGGAGGUAAGCUGGGAUAGCUGGUGCGCAGGAAACCUUUGUUCCUCAGUUUGCUUUUGGGCUUUGGCUAUUGUGUAGAGAUAUUCUUAGUACAAAUGUUAGAUUGAAGAGGAGGAUGACUACAGAAGAUUUUUUUUUAUUUUUAUUUUUUGAGCUUUGUAUCUACAAAGCUAAGCCGAGCAUUUGUUCUUUCAGUAUGGUAUGACCUAUCAAGUCUACAAGCAAAUUUGGUGGUACAGGGAGCCAGAUCCAUGGUCGAUUGAGUUGUCUUGUUACUGUUUAUAUUCUAUGCGUAGUACUUCCAACUUCCAAGGUUCAAGUAUGUAAGUUGACACUUGCAGCAAAUAUAUAUCAUGUGUGGAACUGGAGAAAUCAAGUAGUUUUCAAUAAGAACCUAUGGAUUGUUGAAGUUCUUGUGUGUAAAAUCAUUUCAGAUUUUCAGGCAACCAUACUAAGUUAGAAGCCCGUGAGCAUGAGUAGACAGUUGGGAGCUUUGCUUGCCAUGGCAAAGCAAAUUUCUUUAGGCUUUUCCUUUUUUACUAGUGGUUUCGCUGUCCUCCUUUUGUGUUUGUUUUACCCUGUUUGGGCGAUAGAUUUCUAGUGUUAUGCUAGACUGUGUAUGUUUUUUUGUUAUAUCAAUAAGAAUACGUUUAUCUAAAGGGGAAAAAGAAUGUUUGAGAGGGGGAUAGAGAGAAUAUGUGUCUAUAUGUGACUGUGUAUCUGAUAGAAGAUAAAAACUGUGUUUGUAUGAGAGGAUGUGAGUGAGAGAUCACGUUUUAAUAUCCUUAUACUAUAUAAGAACGAGUUUAGGACUAGAUUUCAACCGCAGGGGUGAGGCUAUUUUGGGAAUGUGAGAGUGUUUGAAGAGUAAUUGGAACAUUGAGUACAAGUCAUUAUAGCUUUAAUUUCACUAUAAUUACUUAUAUAACCUUUCAGACAUUUAAGGUUAGGGGUAGGUUUGAUAUGUUACAAUGUUUGGUGCCAAGUUGAGUAUCAAGUACAACUGAAUAAAGCUUGUGUUUUGAUAGAAUUACAUAAAAGUCCUUUUAAUCAUUUAUUAUACUAACAUCCAAGCCUUCCAAUUUCCUGAAACCUUUCUCACCCGUUAAGAAAUUAAUUGGAUGUUUACAUAAUUGGAUUUUAAUUACAAUUAAUUAACUUAAUUAUUAUCUAAACAAUCAUUAUCAUAUUUAUGUCCCCAUGUUUAGCCGAUACCCUUUCUUCUUUUUCGGUUUCACCUCUUUGGUUUUAUUAUGGCUAUUAAAUAUUUGGUGGAAUGCGUAGCUUUUCCUUUAAAUUGAGGUGAGUUCUUUGGGUUUGUCUUCUUCGAUUGUAGUUUUUUUUUUUCUGAUGAUUGGUUUAUUCAAGAACUCCAUAUAGUUUGCCUUUUGAUACUUCUAAUUCCAAAAACUGACUAAUUGUAUUGUUUUCCUUAGUAGAUCUCAGAGAUUCUGUCUCUGGACAAAGUACAAUUUGAGAUAAUGUUGUCACUUUCUAAAAUAAUCAGAAAAGCAAUUUUAUCAUAUUCUCCUCCUCGGCCAAGGUAUUAUCUCUUUAUUUAAGUCAAAUAAUCUUAUUUCUCAUGAACUUUCUCCUAUUGUUCUUGACUCCAGGGAUCUGUUGACUACAUUCCAACAGUUAUGGUUCAAGUAGUUAUUUUUUCAUGUAAUAUGAUUUGGAAUUCAGCUUGUGUUUAUUUUAAUUGGAAAUUUUAUAAUUGUAAAAUUUAUUAACUUAGAAUUUUGUACUUCAUUGAAACUAAAAAAGAAAAUUAAUCAUGCUACAUAGUACUAAGAUGUCAUUUGCACUCUAUUUGCUUUCCAUGUUAUGAUCUCGUUCUUGUAUUAUACUGUUUAUAUAGUUUCAAAUACAAAAAAUUUGCUUUUUUAUGCUAUCUAAAAGAAUUUGUAGUGAAUCUUGAUGAGUUUAAAUGCUUUAGCUACAGCACCAUUUUACAAGCAACUAUUAUCCAUAGUUCAAACGAGUCAAUUAAGUAGAGAUGUUAUAUUGGAUACUUAUACAAGUAAACAUUGGAAAAUAUCAUUAAGCAGUUUCUACCUAUAGUUUGCAAUUCGAAUUCAUAUGAGGAAUUUCUUCUGAUUUUAGUUACCAUUUUCUACAAUUUCAAAGUUAGAAAAUAUUAUUUGCACCAAUUUUUUAUAAUCAAGAUAGUUUCAAUUCAGAUCUUUAACAAUUAUGCAGAUUUGAACUUAUUUAUGAGAUUAUAAAGAAAUGCCCCUAGCAAAAAACACCAAAUUUGAAUAGUUUCUACAAAAUUUUGAAAAAGACCACUUAAGUUUCUUAUCUAUCUAUCAUUUUUGGGCAUUAUUAUCUUUGUAAGAAACAUGUGAUUAAGUCGUAUUAUGCCCACUAAAUUAUAUAAAUAGUUAGUCAAAAAUAAAAUUAUUUUAGAUUAGAUUGGAUGCAAAGUGAUUGAUGGAUAAACUUGACUUGAUAAUUCAGGUUGAGCUUAAGUCGAGGGAGAAAUCAGAAGCAUUGCUUGAGGGAUCUUUCACGAACAUAUAUAGAUUCGAGAGAUGAAGGGUCCAAUUGAUACUUUAAAAUGUUUUAUCAUCUUGGAUAAGUUUUAGAAGAGACCUUUGAAUACUUUUCAAUUGCACUUCAAACAUUUUUACAUUUUCAAACUAUCCUUAUCUUUGCUGUUGAAAUUCAAACAUAACCUUUGAUCACAACGGAUUCUUAUAUAGUAUAAUGAUAAGGAUGUCUCAUUGCACAUUAUUUUUAUUGACUCACUAUGUAACUUAUGAUUUUUCUAUUAAAAUCACAUGAUAAAAUCAUCAUACUUCAGUUCUUAUACUACAAAUUAUUAAACAAUAAUUAUUAAUUAUCUUGAAUCACAAGCACUAAAUUCCCGUGCGUCGCGCAGGCUGUCCCUCCCUAGUGUGUUAUAGAAAAAAUGGAUAAUUUCACAAACCUCUCCUGAGGUUUCUCACAAUUACAAAGAGCUCCCCUCAAGUUUUAAAAAUUAUCUCCGUUUGGAUUAGCUGUUUUUGGGGUUGUUUUUCAAAAACAGCACUGUAGCAUUUCGUUUUUCAAAUACAAGUCCGUUUGGAUUAGUUGUUUUUGGGGUUGUUUUCAAAAAUUAUAUAAAAAACUUUUACUGUAGAUGUUUUAUGGAUUAUUUUUAGAUGUAUUUUUAAAACAUAUUUUUGAGUAUUUUUAUAAUUUAUAAUUUUUAUAACAAUAUACAAUUAUACAUUUAUAAAUAUUUAUAAAUAAAUAUAUUUAUAUAAAAAUAUAUAAAUGUAUUAUAUUAUAUAUAAUACAUAAUAUAAAUAUAUUUAUAAAUGUAUAAAUGUAUAAAUGUAUAAAUUAUAAAUGUAUAUUAUAUAAAUGUAUAAAUUAUAAAUUUUAUAUUUUAUAUUUUUAUAUUUAUAUACAUUUAUGCAUUUAUAAUACAUUUAUAAAUAUUUAUAAAUAAAUAUAUUUAUACUUUUAUAAAUAAAUAUAUUCAUAUAUUUAUAUAUAAAUGUAUUAUAUUAUAUAUAAUACAUAAUAUAAAUAUAUUUAUAAAUGUUUAAAUGUAUAUUACUAUAAAUAUAUAAAUUAUAAAUGUAUAUUAUAAUUUAUAAUUUAUAAUUUUUAUGUUUUUAUAUUUAUAUACAUUUAUGCAUUUAUAAUACAAUUAUAAAUAUUUAUAAAUAAACAUAUUUAUAUAUUAUUAUAAAUAAGUAAGUGUAUUAUAUUUAUAAAUAAAUUUAUAUAUUAUAUAUAAAUAAAUAAGUGUAUUAUAUUUAUUUAUUAUAUAUUAUAUUUAUAAAUAAAUAUAUAAAUGUAUUAUAAGUGUAUUAUAUUAUAUAUAAUACAUAAUAUAAAUAUAUUUAUAAAUAUAUAAAUGUAUAUUAUUAUAAAUGUGUAUAAAUUAUAAAUGAAUAUUAUGAUUUAUAAUUUUUAUGUUUUUAUAUUUAUAUACAUUUAUGCAUUUAUAAUACAAUUAUAAAUAUUUAUAAAUAAAUAUAUUUAUAUAUUAUAUAUAAAUAAAUAAGUGUAUUAUGUUUAUAAAUAAAUUUAUAUAUUAUAUAUUAAUAAAUAAGUGUAUUAUAUUUAUUUAUUAUAUAUUAUAUUUAUAAAUGAAUAUAUAAAUGUAUUAUAAGUGUAUUAUAUUAUAUAUAAUACAUAAUAUAAAUAUAUUUAUAAAUUUAUAAAUGUAUAUUAUUAUAAAUGUGUAUAAAUUAUAAAUGAAUAUUAUAUAAAUGUAUAAAUUAAAAUAUUAUAAAUAUAUAUUAAUAUUAUGUAUUAAUGUAUUAAUGUAAUAAAUAUAAAUGUAUAAAUUUAUUAAUAUUAUGUAUAAAUGUAUAAUUAAUAUUAUGUAUAUUAAUAUAAAUAUAUAAAUGUAUUAUAUUAUAUAUAAUGCAUAAUAUAAAUGUAUAUUAUAAAUAUACAUAAAUAUAUAUAUUAUGUUUAAAUGUACAUUUAUAUAAAUGUUCAAUAUAUAUAAUAUAUAUUAUGUAUAUAUUAAAUAUAUAUAAUAUAUAACAUUUAUAUAAAUGUAUAAUAACAUAUUUGUAAUUUAUAUAAUUUAUAUAAUAUAUAAUAUUCAUAUAAAUAUAAAUAUAUAAAAUAUAUUUUAUAUAAAAUAAAAUAUUUAUAAUAUGUAUAAAUUAAUAUAUUUAAAUUAAUAUAAUUUUUAUAUAUCCUAUACAUAAUUGAAAUAUACAAAUUGAAAUAAACAUAUUAAAUAUGUAUUUGGAGUUGUUUUUGAUAUAUUGUUUGGAUAUGGUGUUUUUGGAGUUGUUUUUUAAAUACACAUUUACUGUAGCAUUUGGAUUGUGAAAAACAGUUUUUCAAAAACAGGCCCAAAAACAAGAAUCCAAACGGAUAGAUAUGUAUCUCGCCUACUUUCACCAUUUAGUAACAAUGUAGGUCCUCGAAUUUAGAUUUUCCUUCAAAAAUCCUAAAUUGCCCUUUUGUACAAAAUUAAGAAAGAAAUUUAUAGUAUACUCAAUCAUUUUUUUUCACAAUUUGUAUAAAUCAACAAACCAAAUUCCUAACAACCAUUCAAACAUAAGUUAUAAAUCAAGUAACCAUCCAAAAGAUACCAAAUUGCAUAUACAAUAUCAAUACUUGCCACAAUAAAAAAAAAUACACACAUACACAAAUCCCAUUGAUAACCAAUUUUAUACCCCCAAAUUAAAUAUCAAUGCUAAAAUACCUUUUCAAUAUAAACUAAUUCGAUCUAGAACCACCAUUACAACUCUCCUAUCGCCUUAAAAAUAUUAACAUCUCAAAAGUAGAUAAUAAAUUAUAUCUUCACAAUAAAAUCAUAAUAAAAAAUUUCUAAUCCAAUGAAAGAAAUCAUUAUGUAAUUAUUGACAUUUUAUAAAAGUUUUUCUUAACAACAAAUAAAAUAUGACAAAUUUCACAUCUUUGGUUCUUCUUCCUAUUUCAAUCAUCAAUUUCAUUAUUUAUUUCUCUAUCACUGUGAGUCUCUUCAUUUCCUUCUAAUUUGACACAUGAUCUAUUCUCUUGUAGAUUUUGUAAUUUCAAUUUGCUAAUAUUCACAAAACUAAAGAUAAUAAAAAGAGGUUAUAUUAACUGGAAAAUAGACAAGAGAUAGAAAAAUAGAUUUCUUUUUUGUUAGAUUUUGUAAAUUUAUUGCCUUAAAUUUAAAAUUGUCUACUAAAUGGAGUGUCUUAUAGGUAUUUUACUACAUCAAGGGAUGUAAUUGUAAUUUCUUAAACCUGAGGGGAGCCGAAUAAAAUUGUCAGAAACCUCAAGGGAGGUUUCUGAAAAUAUCCCUAGAAAAAAUUAUGUUGUGUGUGAGAGAAAAGAUUGUGUAUGAUUAUGAGUGUGUGCACUUGUGUGUGUGUAUGAGAGAGAGAACGUGCAUACGUGUGCAAGUGUGUCCGUUACAGAGAAAAUAUAAGAGUAUAUAUAAAAUAAUAAGGAUUUGAGUAAAUACAAAAGAGUACUAAUAGAAAAUGGAUUAAUCUUUCCUACACUAACAGUGUAUACAUCAUCCGCAUUGGAUGAAUGGUAACUAUGCGAAAUUUGAAUUUGUAAUUUAACUUUUAUACACAUGUCAUGAAUCUAAUGGUGAUAGUGUAUACAUUGCCAGUGUAUAUAAGAUUUACUCAUAGAAAAUUUAGCAAUUCACGUAAAUAUGUGUCCACAUUAAAUGGUGCUUAAUGUAUUUUGACAUAGAAAAUUUUGUUAUCAAAUAGAUUUAGUAGGGAUAAAAAAAACACUUACCUUAUUUCAUUACAAAAACUUAAUAAGUUUGUCAAAAAUCCCAAAACGUUGCACUUCUAAUUAUCAUGCGAGUCUUAUAGAAUGCAAAUUUAUGAUGGAGCCCAACAAAAUAACAUCAAUUUUUGACCAUUAAUUUCUUAAGUUCUUGUUUGUUUCUUUGAUUUUAUCUAUUCAGUUAUUCUCAGCAGGGAAAUUAGGCUUAGUGACCUAUUUUGCACUUGAAUGAACCAACCAGAUAAUAUGAUGUAUCCCUCUGCGAUUAGCUGAGUCUACAAUAGUUUACUGCAUUUAUUUCCUUUUUCUAUGCUCGUCUACCACGUUAUCAUUUUCAUCCCUUAAGCUUUUUCUAAACAUUUUUACUUAUUUGAGUAUAGAUGUCUAAGAUUCGAUGUCUUCUCUAGAAAGGGUGAAGAAUUCGAACUUUAUGAUUAGUGAACUUGGGAAUUGAGAGUUAUAUCUUAAGGUCAAUGCCAAUUUGGCCCUACCAAAGAAGGUUCAAUUCUCAAUUUGGCCCUUCAAAGUGUUUAUAUGGGGUCCUUCCAUCCAACUGCAAUUAUAUCCCUAACAUUUGACUAGUCAGUAAAAGAUCUAAUAGAGAAUCUAGCAAAUAUAUUGGUUUUUUCAUAAUAUUUCCACUUUUUUUUUGGCCUUUUUCAUUUUUACUUUUUUUUUUUAUCCUAAGAAGAAUAACAGCCACCAUUGCGGCUGUUGGUAUACAGGCUGGCAAUGACCUUGUGGCACUGGUGAUGAUUUAUAACAAAAAAACACUCCUAAAUUUGAUUUUUUUUUUCAAGAAAAAUAUAAUUCUAGCAAAAAAAAAAAACUGCAUUGACAUAAGGUCAAAACGACAAACCAAAAUGGAGCAUCCGGAACACAUUGGUUAAGCGUUUUGUAAUAACACAAAACUGGUAAAAAAAAAAAAAAGUGGCUGCUGCUGCUGUUGUUCCUUGUAGGGAAGAACAAGAAAAGGUGAAAAAAUAUUAAACAGUGAAAAUUUUGUGGAAAUAAAAAUUAUAGAAGGAAAGAUAGGUUUGUUUGCUUGGGAGUCAGUUAUGUUGCUAAAAUAUGCUGAGAGGAGUGACUUUACUAAUUUGCAGUCGCAGUUUUAUGCCAUUGAUGAGCAUUUACUAGCUCGAUUGGUGUGAAAAUUAGCUUAUUUGUUUCCUCAUCAACCCUCUAGGUAACAGUUCAGUUUUUGCAAUUGUUUCCUCUUUUUUCCCAUUUUUUGUGUUCUUUUCUUAUUCAAUAAGAUACCAAUUUUACGUUAAAAAUCUAAUAAUAAUAGUAGUAGUAGUACCCCAUUGUAUGAUUCAACAUGCACUAGCUCCCUUGUUGAGUAGUUCUUUUGCUUUUUCUUUUUUCAAUAGAAGGAGGUAUUCUAAUUUAGUCAGACUAAUUCAUCUCUUGACUUGCAGAGCCCUGCCCAAGAAUGCAUGUACUAGCUCCCUUGUUGAGUAAUCAAAUUUUAGAACUUUGGUUGAAUUGAAUGGAAGCACUAGAUUGGAAAUCUUUUCCAGUUUGGAGGACCAAAUCGAAAUUUUUAACUACUUUGGAUGGCCAAACUAGCAUUAACAACUAGGGGUGGGCAGGGUCGAGUACCCACCAUGUGCACCAUUAGACUGAUCUAACCCGCACCUUGUAGGUCAACUAUUUUUUGACCCUUAUUCACCCUGCAUUUCGGUGACUACCUAGUUAUCAAGUACCCGCUGAGAUAGGAUUGGAUCAACGAGUACCCGUCUCGCUCCACUUAUCAUUUAAUUUUUUUUAAAAAUGAUUUAUACUAAUUUAAUUUUGUAUUUUAUAUAUUCAUCUAAAAUUUAAUAAAGAUUUUUUCUCAAACAAAGUCUCCCACCAAGAAACAAACAUGCAGAGAGAAUACAAGAAAAAUGAAAAAAUUAUAAAAAUUCAAAAUCAAUAAAAAUUUGAAAUAAGUAGCACUUGUUUUAAUUAUAUAUUCCAAAUUAAUUAAACUUUUUUUUUAAAAACAUAAGAUCAUGACCUCUACAAAUGAAUCUUGUAAAUAAACUAUAGUCUCCCAUAUUUGUAAUGCAAUUUAUUCAAUAAAAUUACUUAUUUAACUCUAAAAAUAUUAUGUUAUAAUAUGCAUAUAAAAAUAAAAAAUAAAAAAUAUAUAUGCAAGGCGUGUUAGGUACCCGCGGAUUUUUAAUUAGGUGAUCUUAACCCACCCCACAUCUAAGUAAGUACCCGACCUUUUUUUGACCCGAUCAAAUAAUACAUAUCAGAUAUCCUAAUUUUCGGAUUGAAUAUGAUGAGUUUUCAGGUUAGCUAGUACUUUUGCCCAACCCUAUUAACAACUAAUUUUAAUUUGCCUAUUGUAUUUUCAUGUUUUCCAUAUCAGUGUCCUGUUUCAUAAGGAUGUUUUAAAUUGCUAUCCAAAUAUUCAGCUCAAUUAACCACCAGCUAGUUGGAUCAAGUAAAAUGGCACCAUCAAACAUUAAUUUAAAUGAAUAAUUAAUCAAUGACAACCCUAGAGAUACAAGUUAAUACACUGUUUAUUCCAUAACCCUCCUCCCCAAACAGGAAAUUAAAUGAAAAUAAAACAGAAGAAACUUACGUAUACCAUAAAAUGAAUCUGUUGGUUGUUCCUUUCAUUGGCCCCAAGGCAAUAAGAGGAAACUAUUCAAUAUCGUGAAGAACAUGGUUACACAAGCUGCUGGCAACCAAUUUGGUUACCUUGUUCAACUUCCAAGCCUAACUGAAGAAAUUUUGUGGCCACAAAAUUGACAUCAUUAACUUUUGCUAGGUUUUUUUUUUUUUUCUGAAGAACUUUUGCUAGUAGUUUCAAGCUUCUAGUCUCUUUCAAUACUAUAAUGAAUCGAUUAUAUAAUAACUAAAACAGAAUCCGCAUAUUUGAAUAAAAAAAUAAUGGUUGCAUAAAAUAGAGAAAAGAUGAGUCACAGAACCAUAUUGAGAUGGUUCCUACAUUCAGUGCAACUUCCAUGAACUACAAAGGUCAAACCCCAUAGACAUUUAGCCUCAAUUUUCUCUUCCUUUUUGCACGUUCUUUCAUUUUCCCCUUAAAUUUUCUUGUUGAAACUGCUGAUCCUUAACUAAAUAAAUUCUUUUCCCCUAAACCAAGAUUCCACAUCAUGGGCUCCAUUUUUCUCCCUUGCUGACAUCAACCUUUUUUGGCAUUUUCUAUUCACUCUUAAAGUUUAUUAAACUAUAUAUAAAGGUAGCAACCUUACAUAAUGAUUCGACACCACAUUGAUCAAAGGCCAGCAAUUGCAACAGCUGAUCAAACUACAAAGUCUUUAACCACCUCCAAACAAAUACCAUCCACAUACAUAUUUUUCUUCAUAUAUCUUUUCUCUUAGAUUCAAGAAAGGUCCUAUCAUGAGUUCUUCUAUCAACAAAUUUAUAGGUUCUCGAGGAACAGCACAAUCUACAGCUGAGGAAUCUGGAUGGACUCAAUAUUUUGACGAUUUUUCAUCAGAUCAGAAGGAACAUGAUAGCUCAUCAUAUUCAAAUGGUAGCCCUUCUUUGGUUUCUGAUGCAGCUUCUCCCAACAAAAAGGAAAGCGGUCCAUGUUCUGCAUUUUCUGACCAGCAGGUCCCCAGGAGAUUGAAUGUCAAGGAAAAAAGAACCAAGAAAUAUUCUUGUGAUGAUCUGGAAGACACUGCUUCUUCACCUGUCAAUAGCCCCAAGGUCUGACAACAAGAAUUCAGCACUUCUUUUUUUUCUCCCUUAAAGUUAUUUUUCUUCUCAUCAUUCUAUUUAAGCAAAGUUUUAUGUUUUAAGAUCAUAUGUAAUGAUGAAUAUUAGGUUAGUAGUUUGAAGCCGAUGGAUUCGACUUACAGAAGAACAGAUGAAAGUAUUGGCAAUUUUCGGGUAAGAAUGAUCGAUGCAUACUACAAUCAAAAUAAUUCCUUUUGCCUUUUCUCAACUCUUUGAAAACUUUUGCAACAAAUAUAUUUAAAGCAAGAAAAUCUUACACACCAUAUCUAAAAGUUUUUCUUUUAUUUUCUUUUUUCUGUUGAUAAUUCUCCAGGGAAAGGAAACCAGACCAGUUGCUUUACAUCAAUCAGAUGAAAGAAGCAGCAUAAACUUUGAUGGAAAGAAUAAUGGCUAUGUGGAGUUGAAGAAGAAAGGACUUUGCCUGAUGCCAUUCUCCAUGGUUCUCCACUACCUGGGCUAGCUGACAAGUAUUAGCUCACGUUAUGUGAUUAAGCAUCAUUAAACUAUUAUAUGUAUAGUGGAAUUACUGGUAAUCUUGUUCAUAUAUAUCCACACAAUCUGCCAUCUUAUGUUGGCGUAAAUUUGAGUACACAAAUUUUAGUGGUUGUAUUUUUUUUCUUUUUCGGUAUGGAUUAUUGAUUGAGAAUGAAGGAAAGGAAUUAGAGACAAAAGCGUUUUAAGAGUUUAAUUCGUCACUACAUAUCUUAAGCAGUGACAGCUAGCUGAAAAUUGUUUAGGAUUUUAAAUACUCUAUUAAGCUUUCUUGUGGAUAAUUGACAGAUGAACCGCCAGACUUUCUUUUGUUCUUCCUUUACCUUGAGUAGAGGUUUGGGAACCACUAGGCUUAAUGUGGCCAAUAAUGACUCAAAGCCUUCUAUCAUUAUCACAUUAAAAAAGCUUAAUUUUCAAGAAAUUAUGCCUUUACAUCAUCCACAGUCUCUGAUGGAAGUCCUUAUAAUGGUGCAAACUGCAAAACUGAUGAUUUGAGGGCAUUAGAAUGUAAUAGUAGCAUUUGAUGACUGGCUUAUGUUAACCGUCACUCUAGAUAGUAAUUUCAAUCUCAUUUUAUCUAGAAAAAGGUCUAUCUUGACAUGAUGAUAAAGGAAAACUAGAAAUCCACUUAUAUGGUUGGUUUUUUGAAUGCUUUUAGGGAAAUUCUUUUCGAGUACAUGCCCUUGUAAACGCGACAUAGAGAUAAAAUGGUGAUCGAAAAUGUAUUUGAAAAUUUUAAACUCGACUAGUUUCUGAAAAAUUUGCCCUGAAAAAUGGAUAUGCGUGUGUGUGCAUGCAAUAAGAAGUUGAAAAUCUACACUACUUUUAGAAGAAAAUUGAAGAAUGUUAGGAUCAAUAUGUAUUUUUAAAAAUGGGAGAAAGAUAAAGCAAAAAGAAACAAAUAAGGAGGACACCAUCUAGAAACAUGUAUAAGGUACUAAAGAGAGAGAUAAUAUUGGUAUAGGGAGGUCCAUCAUUUGACAAGUAGUGCUAAUAACAUUAGUACCAAGGACUUUCGAUUGGCUAAUUCAUCAUAUUCAAUUGUCACAUCACCUAACUAGAAUUGUUAGAAAAGGAACAGUUGAUCAAAUGCAACGCUUCAGUUCUGGUCUCUAACCAAAUUAGCAAAAACUAUUAAGUUGUGGGCUAAAACCAUGGGCGAGGACACAGCAACAGAAUUUUUACAUGAAGCCAUUAGCAAUUUUGUUCCAAUAAAUGGAAGUUUUACCACUGACAAACACUACUAGUUUUAUAAAAUCUUUAGGUUAUAUGCUCAAAAUGUUUAACACACAAAUAAAAGUGUUUCCCCGGUUGUAGGUAUGGUGAUUCUAUAUCUGGCAGAAUUUGGAUGCAUAUAUCACAUUUCCCACCAAACAAGAAACUGAAGAAUAAUAUAAAGAAUAUGGUGAUCAUGAAUGUGUCAACAACUUCAUACAAUUUUUUUAAAUGGGAUUGGAAGCCAAAUAUUCUUCCACAGAAUCCAAAAGGAUACAAUUUCCUAGUAAAAGCAUGGUAAAUAAUGGAAAUAUUAAUUAUUAGUUUGACAAUCAUUAAUUAAAAUAUUCAAAGGUACGGCAAAUUCAAGACCCCUCCAUGUGCAAAAACGUUACGGCAGGUAAAGUCCACAACUGUCCUAGCAUAUACUCUUUUGGUUGACUUUCCGUUAAUUUCUUCUAGAUAAAACUCAUAAAUCUCUCAAUCUAUAAAUCUUCGAAAUAAACGAAGUAACAAAGAUAAUGAUGAUUAAUUAAAAUGUGACAGGCAAGUAGCAAGAAAGACAGAACAUUGGCAAGAAUUGAUGUUUGAGCCAUUUUAACAUACAUUAUGCGUAAUAGUGAAGAGUUACAUUUAGUUUUCAUGAUUAUUUUGACGCUUUAAAUCGUUAAUUUUCUUGAAAGCAUAUUUAAAUACAUCAAUGAGCAAUAAAAUCUUGAAACGUCCCCUUCUUGCCCCUAAGUCAGCCCUAUUAGGAGUUUACACAUAGUGUGUCUUUGUGUCUGUUUAACUUGAUAAUUGAAAGGGUAGAGAGAAAGGUGCUUGGUAAAUAAUAAAUGUGUGAUUUGAAUUUCUUUAAAGGCAUAGCUCUAAAUAUAUGUGAGCAAAAAUAAAAUUUUCAAGUUUUGCUUCACAUUUUCUUGAACAAAAAAGUUUGACGUAAGGUGUAAAGUUUCCAUGAAUUAGACAUACAAAGACAUGAAAAUUGAUCUUAUUUUGAUAGGCCAAUGAAAUGAAUGAUUGUGGCACUCAUCUCCAAACCAGAACCCUCAUAGGAUUAUGGAAAUGAAGGAUGGGGUAAUUAAUAUCCCAACAACAUGGUUUUGAUAAUAUGAGCGCAUAAAUCCUUGGAUUAAGUCUAUUAAGUCCAAGUCCAAGGUCAGUUUCAUGAUGAAUGAUCUGAUACGAAAGGAAAUGACCGCACUCCAUGUACAUCUGUGCAUUUAAGUCAGAAAGACAGUCAUGACAUGAGAAUUUUCAUUUGUCUAAUUAGAGAUUAAAGUUAAACCACCCCUCCUAGGUUGGAUAAUGAUCAGCAUGUGAGCCAAAAAAGGUUGUUUAUUAAUCAUUCAAUUUGACCAAAAUAAUUCAACUUAUUGGUCCGUGACAUAGUAAUUAACCAGAAUCUAAUCAUUGAGAAUUGAAAUUGGGUGGUAAAUUAAAGGGUUCGCAAACAUAUGCAGCAUAAAGUAGUCACUAAUGUCAUAGUUGGAUUGGACCCCAAAGAUAAACUUGCCUGUUAAGGUUGGAUAAUCAGGAGCAUUUGAACCCAUAAUAUUCUUUUAUGUUCGAAAUGAUUGAAAUUGAUAAUAAAUUGAACUUUAUCGGUCAGUAAUAUGGUUAACAAGCUUUAAUAAGGUAACAUGGAGUUCUGGACUUUUGGGUGGUAGAUAAAUGGUCUGGCUCAUACCAUAGGCUGUUGAAAUGAUACAGUAACCAAUAGGCUAGAGCUAAACUCUAUGGCUUACACGUCAAUAAUACCAAACAUUCAAUGUGCAUGAUAAGACCUUUAAUCAAUGAUUUACGAUUAUCGAAGUAUAUAGACAAAUUAAAGCUAAUGAUUAAAGUAUCUUAAUGGAUUGUACAUGCCAACUUGGAUGGAGAAGCCCUAAAAAACACUAGAAAAGCACAAUUAAUCUCCUACUAUAUAUCUCUUGUAAGGGGAAUAAAAGGGAAAAAUUACAUGUUUCAUCCCUUAUAUUUCGCAAAAAUAUUCUUUUCAUCACUCACUUUUAAAACGAAAUAAAUUCAUCCCUUACAUUUAAAAAUUGAAUCUAUUACAUCUCUGAAUCCAACUUUCAAUUUGAAUCAUACCAUCCAAUAAUCCAGUAAUAAAUUUGAGGAUAUAAUUAAUAGAUCACUCGAUCAACUCCAUUACAUUCACAUGAUAUUUAUUAAACCAAAAAAGAAAAUAAAUUAAAAAGUUAUAACAUAAAAAGACCAUUCUUUGUCUUGGAAUGGUAGGGUUUCUAUUUGGAUAAAUCUUUUCAUGCACCGUUAGAAUAUACACUUGCGAGUCUAGAUACAUAUCAUACAUACAAAGUUUGGUGUUUAAAUUUAAAUUGAAAUGAUAUAUCAAGUAUCUAGACCUAUCAGUGUAUAUAAUGACAAUUUAGGAAAGAUUAUUUCUUCUUUUUUAUGUCAUAAUUUUUUAUUUUUUCUUUUUGGGUUCAUUAAAUUUCACGUGAAUAUGAAGUUGAAUUAUGAUCACUUGUCGCGAGUGUCAAAGAUUAAUUACUAGAAACCCAAAACAUGUAGCAGUGGGAGUCCAGGUCGAACUAAAACCAUUUGGCCUAAAUUAGCCCGAACGCCGGUAGUAAUUCACAGAUUCUCUGGUUUCUAGGAUAGAAUCAAAUAGCUCACUUAAAUUAGGAGUCGUUUGUCAAGAGCAUGUCAGGUCUUACAUCGGGUUGUAAGACGGGCGCCCAUCAUAGAUAGACUGUUAAUUUGACUGAAUUCAACUUCAAGCUCAAAUGGGUCUUCUGUUUGGCCCCCAUCCUAUCACCCAUCAGCUGCUAACCACUUGAGGUCACAUUUUCCUAUUAAUUAAUAUCUUUUUGCUUUAUUUUUACCACAAAUGCCUUUAACACUGUCCAACCAUAAAAACACAACUAAAUAGCACUUUUAAAGAUAAAACAUGCAUAAAAUCAUAGUGAUAGAGGAGCAUAAAAAUAUAUCAAACAUGACAGCUCAAGUUAACCAAGUGAUCUACUAAUUAUAUCUUUGAAAUUUAAAAUUGGAUUGUUGGGUAGUUAGAUUCAGAUUGAAAGUUGAUUUCAGGGACGAAUUUGCUUCAGUUUUUAAAUGCCAAAAACGAAUUUUCUUCCUUUUAAAAAUAAGUGACUAAAAGAAUAUUUUUAUAAAAUAUGAAGGAUGAAACUGAUCAUUUUUUCGAAUAUAUCAUGUUAUCUCUUGGAUAGACUUGAAAUUUUUUUUAUUCGACAGGCCAAAAAUUUUUUAGUUCAAGAAAAACUCUAAACUUUACAAACUGAAAGAUAGAUUUGAAACUUUUAAAGAAUGUAAUUAGUACAACAUUGUUUUGUAAAACCUAAUAGAUUUAGACCAUUGAAGAGAAAAACAUUUCUUGCUAGCGAAUUGGAGAACGUAUUGUAUGCCUUUGGGAAGUAGUUAAACUGUCUUGAACAAACACAAGUACCCUAAGUUACUAGCACUAAGAACUCCAAAAGUUCCUUAUAUUGCUUGAUGAAACGCAUUUCAAAUCUCCAUAUGCUACACUUUGUUUUGAUUGGACUUCGUCCUAAUCUUUCUCUAACACUUUAGCUGUCACCAAGAAUUAUAUUUUAUUAAUCAUGGACUGCAUUUUUUCGUUCCUUAUCAUCCGUCUUGUUUACUUGAUUUGACUGUGGUACACUUAAAAUUGCACAGCCUAGCUAGCUAUUACAAGUUAAAUGCAUAGCCAUGAUGGUAUAAUAAUUUGUAUUAGAAGAUCAAUAGCGGACUCUAUCUUUUUGGAGUCAAUUAAGCUUCGAGUCUUGUACAUCACAGCCAACUAAUCAAUUACAUUUGCUGGCCUCUAUACUUAUCUGCUUUAAAAUUAUCCCAGACUGCCACUUGCCAGGUGCUUAAUCUGCCUGUUAGCACUCUAGAAGAAGGACCUAUAUCUCACAAGGAUAUAGUUUGCUUUGUUUAAUCUGCCUGUUUGCUUAAGGAUGCCAACAUUAAUAUCUCAUAAACUGAUAAAGGAACUAUAAAUGCAAAAAUAAAUGCCAAGGCCACUAAUUUGGUACUUAGAUUCUUUGGAUCUCAACUAGUUCAAUUACCAAUUCUUGACUUGUAAUCUGUUUUGUCCUCUGUAAUCUGAAUCUAUGCCAACUUAGUUCUUUGUAUUUUGGUAAGUUUAGUCCUUUACGUAUCAGCAUCAUAGUUAAUUGUUAUAAUUGAACAGGAUAAGGUUGAGGGAUGAAAGAUGUAUAAAUGCAAAGAAAAUGCAAUAGGGUCAGAUGACUCAAAAUCUUGGAGGAUAGGCAUUAUUGAACUUCAUAUUCAUGAACCAAGGUUUGGCCGGAACAUAGAAAUCAACAUUACAACUCCAUUUCAUGAGUUUGUUUUAAAAAUAAAAAUAAAAAUGGGAGAGCAUCUCAUGAGUUUGUUCUAUGAAAAAGAUGAUUAUUCUUAUGUUACAUUUGAUACAUUUAAGCUUCUAUAUCUCGCAUAAGUCCUCAUUUACUCUUAUAUAUCAAUUUUAACUUAAGGAAUUUUCUACUCUGUCCGCAAUAAAGAAUACUAUGAAAGCAAUGUGGUUCUUGUCAAAUCAACUCCAAAACCAUGAUGGAACACAAUUUUCUUACUUCUAUCAGAAAAUAAAUUAAGCACAAUAUUGGUUAUGUCCUUUGACCCAGAACUUCAACUUAAGAUAGCCCAAUUCUCAUGUCAAUUCCAAAAUAUAUACCGAAAAAUAUACUUAGAACAUUUUGAAAAUGUAAUAAUAGUGACAACAUGAAUAAACCAAGUAAAUAUAUAUUUGAUACAAGAUACAAAUGACUAAUGAUAGACGUAUACAAGUUUGCAAGUCACCAAUUCUUCUCAAAUCAGAAGCAGCAAGGUUUUUAGUCUUAAAUGACCCAAAUGUGGGAAAAUGACAUAUGGAAAACUUGAUCACAAUGUUUCGAAGUUUGAAGGCACAAACAAAAUUAAUUCAUGGAAGACAAUAUGUAAUAGAUGACAGAUCCAAUAUGGAUUAACAAUUUUACAGUUUUCCCAAGAAUCAGUCAUAUUAUUACAUUGCCGGCUACUAAUCAAACUCUAAUUUUAAGUUGUAGCAAAGAAUAUUCAAGAGUUGAAAAAGUGCAUUUGACACUUGAGAGAAGAAUGUCCUUUGCGUAGCAGACAUAACUGUUGAAUCAUAGGAAUAAACUAAAAAGCAAAUUUCAAUGAUUUUACGUGAUAUUUAUUGAUAUUGACCUCCCCAUUUCUCGUGAAUGGCUUCCAACAAAGUAGAUGACCGUGGCCAUUUUUGCUAAGAUUAUUCCAAAAUUUUGUUCUUACAUGUCUGAUUCAAUGAAUCUAGCUGCUAGAUGGUUAACUCAUGUUGACUUCAGUAGACUUUCUACCAGAAAUGAUCUCCAAAAAGCCCAGAGAGAGAGAAAGAGAGGCAGCAUGUUGCCUUACUGAAAUUUUCAAUCUGAAAUGAGGACAAAUUGACAACAUGUUAUACUGAUUUUCUUUGAAACUUGCCGUAAUCAAAUGCUUUUCUUCCAAGGUUUCAAAAUCUUAUUGAUCACAGUUCAUUGCGCAGAAUAGCCUAGACGAAGUUGUUGGUUGGUCAAGUCUAGCCUUCGUAAGAACAGUAAUACACAAACUAUUCUUCUAUAGUAGCAGUACGGUUAAUAAUUGUGUUGAAUAAGCAAGAAAGCUACAACUUAGGAAUAAACAAUCAUAGUUUUUGCACAUCAAGAAUUGAAUAUACCACCGAUGGCUAAACAUAUGCAUAUUUCUGAUAUAGAUUAUACCAACAUGACCAACAUCACAUACCGUGAAAGCUACAAAUAUUAUUCUAAUCGGGUAAUUUGUAUCGUUUGAAAUUUUAAAGAUUCAGAAAAAUAUCUAAAGAUUAGAGGUGAAAACAUCUAAAAUAUUAUAUAAGAUUUAUUUCUUCUAUAAUAUUCCUAUUUACCUUUUUGACAAAUAGUCAAACUUACCAUUCUCUAAGUUUAUAUAUCUAUGUCAUGCAUCUAUUUCCAAACAAUGAAAUGAUCCAGUCUUGAGGAGUUUAUAUAGAGUUCGUUUUUAAGGUCAAACUAAAAACCCUCUUUGCAAAGAUAUGAGUGCUUUCGCAGUUUGCACUAGAUUUAUUUCUCCCUUUUGGUCCCGUCAAUAAAACAAGAUAGUUUUCUAGUCCUAAGCAUGUUGGUUUGACAAUAAUUGCAUCUUAAUGAAACAAACUUCAGCAAACUCUGCCUUAAAGUAGACGCUAAUUGAUAUAUUCAAAAUCUUAGACGAGAACAAAAUCUUGAAAACAGAUCUCGCAUCUUUGGAUACAAACAAUUAUAAGUAUAUGCUAAUCAUGUUCAGUUAUUGCUAGAAGGAAGGAUCGGUGCACUAAAAAUUGCCAAUAAAUUGAAUACUUUGCCGGCAUAAUAAGAAAACAGAAGUGAUUAUUCUAUUAUGAUUCCACCAAAAAAAAAUAAUAUUUCCUUAGUUCUUAGCCCAGAUAUAUUAUUUGGGGGCAAAAAAAUUUAAGAAUCUAGUGACACUUUAAAUGUGCAUUAUGAUAUAAGCCAUGUCUACAAGUGCACACGUACUAGUUAACCACUUCUUUGACAAUCUGUACAUUUCACAUAGAAAAACAUAAGCAUUAAGGUUGGUGGUUCAACAUUUCUCAUCCCAUAUCCUAAAUGAUAUGAUUUUAGUGCUAAAAAGGAAAGAAACUACAUAUAAUUACAGAAAAAGUAAGUGAUUUAAUUUGAUACACUGCUAAUUAUAGAUUGAGUUUGGCAGUGCAAUCGACAUCAACUUCUUGACUGAGAACUUGAACAGAAAUGUCACAAGUGCUAAAGACCUUUGCAUCAAACUUGAAAACGUUCAGCACAACCGCUUUACCAUGCAAAUUUGCAGUUGAUGUAAAGUUCAAACGCCCAGAACCAAAAUCUUGCCAAAAAUAUGGACUUGUAACCAGCUUUUCUGCAGUAAUAUUUGCAAUGGUGCUAAUAUUAAGCUUUCCCCUUGCUGGAACACUUCCUUCUUCAAGCGGGAUUGCAGCGAUAUUCAUCCCACGGUAAUCAACAAAAGUUGUGGAGUUCUUGAACUGAAAUCCUCCAUAAUUUCGAUUGUAAAUGGUGGCGUUUAUUCCCAUUGUUGCAUUUAGGCUUAGGGUUGGAAACAAUUGAAAUUGAACGUUUUCUAGCUUUGCUGGUAAGGGUUUGAUCAAGGGAUCUUUAGGCUUGAAAACAGUAAAAACUAGUGUGACAGAAAGAACUACAAGAAUGAUGAGACCUAUUGCUGAAGCACCACAGCAAAUUUUGAGGUUUCUCUUUGAUCUUCUUGGUAGAGCCAUGUUAUCUCAGCUUGAAAAUGCAAUCUGCACAAUUAAUCUUCUGAUGAGUUGUUGAAGAAUGGUUGAAAUAUUACAAGCGUGAUUUAUAUACCAGUUCAAUUGAUUGAUGUGGACAAUAGGAAAUUCUUAGUACACGACUCAUUUUUUGUAAUAAAGUAGGGAUUUUUUAGCUUGAGUUAACUGUUUGGUUAUGUUGACAAGGUUGGUGUCCUUUGCCUUACGCAGUCGUCCACAUAAGGAGACGUGCGGGAAAACGAUGUGUUAACAUAGAUGAUUAACCCUCCAAAAUAUGAACAAUUGUCAGUUCAAUAUAAACUUUCAACUUUAUAACACAAGAAUAUAUAUUUAUCUUUUCCUUUGAAUUGUUAAACUUCAAAAGUUGUUCUAAUUUUUUUUUUUUGUAAGCAUAUUUGUUCUGAUAUAGAAAAAAAAAAUAGUAACCAAAAAGCUAAUUAAACAGAAUAUAAGGAGGAAUGAUUUUAGGAGAUAUUAAUAAAUUUGGUUUUGGUUUUUUAGCAAAUAAAUAAAUACAUAAACAGAAGGCAAUCAAAAAAAUUUAAACAGAGAAAAAGAAAUGGAGUACCUCUCUCAUAAACAGAAAAAUCAAGGCCUUCUGUCAAAUUACUUGUCUUUGAUAACCAUUCUUUACGUUAACUUUCAUGUAUUCAUACUCUAAAAGCAAAAGAAAUCAUACCAGCAUAUAUAUAGCUAGUGAAGACUUUGCAUAAGCAAUUUGUUUUCUUAGCCAAUAGCCAUGACUUUAUAAAAUCAACAGACACCACUUUUCAUUUGUCUCAUUCACUAAGGAAUGCAACUUUUUUUUUUUCACUUUUCGUUUCUUUUGAUUAGUAGAAACAGUCUAUUUCAGGAACUAGGAAGGAUUUUAGUCUAGAAUUUUAAGCCAGCAUAAAUAUCUUCCUUUUAUUACAUUGCUCAAUCACUCCAAAGUUUGCAACGCUUUGUAGUUUGUGUCUUUUGGGUGAGAUACAAGCGCCAAAAAGAUCAGAUUUGGCUCUCUGUUUUUAUAGGUAGCAACUUUUCAGGCUUCUUACACAGUACUUGAAGCAAAAAGGGUAAUGUGAAACUUAGGAAAAUUGAAGUGAAGAAACCAUAUUCAAUAACCAUAUACGUAUUUUUAUCUUUAUUUUGAAGAGAAAGGAGAUGAAAGCGUUAGAAAAGAAUUGUAUAAUUUCUUUUGCUUGACUAUAAAGAUCUGUUUAUACUAGCGGAACUAAGUGCCUGACACGUUACUUUUAUUCAAUAUGAAAUUCUCAUCCACUAGAAAUUUUUACACGUGUAGAACAUAUUAAACAUUAAAACUACCAAGUUAAAUUAUUCUAGAAAACAGUUAUUCCUAAUAGCAAACAAAUCAUGUGUUUUUUCAAAUUUAAGCCCCGUUUGAAAUUGCAGUAACUUAUAAAGAAACACUUUUAACACGAGCGCUUUUAAGUUACCAAAAGUUGACCUACUUAAAAUAUGAAAAAUUAAUUAUCAAAUGCUUUAAAAAUACUUUUAAUGUUUAAAAGUAUUUUUUUUUUUAUAGACGCACUGCAACCCUAAACGAAGCCUCACACAGGAAUUAUAUUUGCCGCACGUCACAUCGAAUCUGAUGAUAAUAAACGCAUUAGGAUUCAAGAUUGCUCCUUCUUGAACGUGAAUGUUAAGAAGCAAAUUGGCCAAUUGGGUUUGUUUGGAUUGAAAUAUAGUAGCCCAAAACUCACUCAAGAAAACCCAUUUGCAUCCUUUGUUGGGCUACCCUAACUGAGCCCAAAAUAAAAUCUAUAAUCCCAAACUCAAAAUUUACCCGAACUAAAUUCCAAAUGAUUAGUGGAUAGAUAAGAUUGAACGCCGUGAUUUAUUCUACCGGCUGCAUUGGGCUGACUUUUUCUUCUCUUAUUCGUUUGUGGUAAACAGCCUUGGGCUUCGAGAGAGCUACACCUUUUUAACUUAUUUUACGGGCAAAAGCUUUCUAGGAGACACUUGAUUAACGAAUUAAAUCAAAAGUAAAUUUAAUGACAAUGUAUAUAUUAUCGUUGUUGCAUAAUAUGUGUAAAUGUUGAAUUUUAAAUUCAAAUUUUAUAUAAUUAUCAUUCAUCCAACGUUGACAAUGUAUAAACUGUCAAUAUAGAAAAGAUUAAUCCUUAAAACAAAUAAUAUAACAAUAGAUUCUCCAAAAAAAAUAUACAACUAUCAGAAAGAGAAAUAUACACAUCUAAAAAACUGAAAUAUUAAAUUUUUUUGGAAGGAAUUUAAUAUGAAAUAUGUGAAGAAUCAUAACUUAACAUGAAAUGUUAGCACUUUUAUUGCGCUUUGCUCGAACUCUGUAAAUUUGAUCACAAUGAAAAAUACAGUUCCAAGGUUUAUCAUCGCAGAGUGAAAUUGGAAGUUAAAAUUCUUCAUCAUAUUUAUAAGGAAAACAAUAACGUUAGAAUUAGCUUUUAUCUUUUUUGGUUGGAGAGAAAACAACAAUAUUUUGAAGGGUAUUUAAGAGAAAUAGGUGGGAGGAUCAACAACUAAUUUAAUUCUCUGCCGGUUUGGAAUCUUUACAGACCGAUUCAUGAUGGAUAUCUUGAGCCUGAAAUUUGACUCAGUGUUAACAUUGUCGUGUUUGGUUAGACUUGAUGGAAGAAUGACAAAACAAUUUCAACAGAAAAUAUUGUGCUUUCUUGAAAGGGAGAAGAUGGUUUUCAAAUCUAAGCAAGAAUUAUCAAAAUAAAGAUUCAAUAGUGAUUUAUAUAGAUUGAGAAGAUGGUUAAGAAGAUUUUUUUAUUCUUAAUUCUUCAUAAAGUGACUUCUGAAUAUUGUCAUUGAAAUUUGAAACCUAUUAGGUGCCACGAAACAAAUUUGUGUUUAUGUUCAAAUUUUGUAGAAUUAAAAAAGUAAAAUAUAUCCCAAAAAAUUACACAAUUCAUAUUAUGGCAUGCAUGUUUGAUAAGCUGUUGAAGACGCUAAACUUAUCUUUGCUACUACACGAGUUAAAGAAAUGCAAGUUAUGGUAAUGCUCCUGCACUUGACCAUACACCAAGUAUGAUACACGAUUCUUUGAAUUAACUUUGUAACUAUAUCUACUCAAGAAAUUUUUUUUUUUACAAUAAAGAUUGGUAUUGACAAAUAUUAAUUAUGGAACCAUUUUUAUUGUUUUCUAUAUUCUUUUCGAUUUAAAUUACCGUAAGCUUCUUUUCCCUCCUCAUGCUAGACCUUCUAAAAAAUUUCUAAAUCACAAUAUUCUACCUCGAAUAAAUAGAAAAUUUACAAAACUAUGCUUUAAUAAAUGUGAUGUAUUGGCUUUCUCUCCGCUCCUCCCCUCCACCCUCUAUCUAAUAAGCUUAGUAAAAUAUAGAUAGAAACUCUAAGUGAAAAUUGACAAUUUUUUCUAGACAGUGUAAACUUUAAUAAUAAGUUAUAAUUCACUAUACACAAGUUGUAUAACUUUAUAACAACAAAAUGAAAACAUAAUGCUAUUCACAAUAAACAAGUACGUGUGAGUUGUGUUAGUAUUAUUUGAACUAUACUUUUUGAAAUUUUACUUUGUUUUCGUGAAACUUUAGGGCUUGAUCCCUCCAAAAAGAACUAUACUUUUUGAAAUUAUACUUUGCUUUCAUGACAUUUUAGGGCUUGAUCCCUCUAAAAACCAGAAAGAACAAAACUAAGGGACCGUAUUUGUUUGGACUGAAAAUAUUUUCUAAAAAAUGUUUUUCACAAUUUCCGGUGUUUGGUUGCCUUAGAACUGGUAAAAAUAUUUUACACAAGAAAUUAUUUUCCCCAUUUCGAUGUAAAACAACUUCCUUAAAUGAGGAACUGAAAUUAUUUUCCAAAACAACACAUGCAUUGUCAAACUUGAAACUCUUGUCAUUUGUUAAUACAAGAACAUUCAAUCCAAAAAACACGAAAAGACCUCAAAAGUGUGUCAUACAAUUUGCUGAAUCUUCACUCGUGACAAACUCAUCAAUGAUUUCAUUACCAACAAACUUUCGGUGUAGAUGGAAUUUUCUCCUUUUUAACAGCUUGAUUUUCCUUCUCCAUGAAGAUUCUUUUUUUUUCUAUUUUCUUUUGAAACCCCAAUCUUUUUUCAUCAAAUUGCUCUUGAUCUUUAUCCUUGGAAGUUUAUACUAUCUGAUUAUGAAAAUUGAAUUUAGAGUCUGAAAAUAUUAAUUAUGGAAACAUUUUUAUUGUUUUCUGUCUUUUACAGUCUAGUGGUACUCUUUUGGAUUUAAAUUACUGAAAGCUUCUUUUCUUUUCCCUCUUCAUUCUAGACCUUCUAAAAAAUUUCUAAAUCACGAUAUUCUACCUCGAAUAAAUAGAAAAUUUACAAAACUAUGCUUUAAUAAAUGUGAUAUAUUGGCUUUCUCUCCGCUCCUCCCCUCCACCCUCUAUCUAAUAAGCUUAGUAAAAUAUAGAUAGAAACUCUGGGUGAAAACUGACAAUUUUUUCUAAGCAGUGUAAACUUCAAUAAUAAGUUAUAAUUCUAUAUACACAAGUUGUAUAACUUUAUAACAACAAAAUGAAAACAUAAUGCUGUUCAUAAUAAAAAGUAUGUGUGAGUUAUGUUAGUAUUAUUUGAACCAUACUUUUUGAAUACUUUGUUUUCAUGAAAUUUUAGGGCUUGAUCCCUCCAAAAAGAAGUAUACUUUUUGAAAUUUUAUUUUGUUUUCGUGAAAUUUUAGGGCUUGAUCCAUCCAAAAACCAGAAAGAACAAAACUAAAAGGAAGCCAUCUUGCAUCUCAGCUUGGCUUGUUGACUAGGUAGCAAAACAUACAAUAUGUCAACCUCAUAUGUGCUUUCUUUAGAAUGUAACGCCAACAAAAUAUUAUCGUUACUUACACCACAUAUAAUCUCUGUAUUUAUUGUCUCUUGUAUUUCUUCUUUUCUUGCCGGCCUGCCCAAAAUGGCACCUAGUUACCUAGUAUUUUGGGUUAAUUUCAUUUUAGUACUCAUAACUAGCCUAAAAAUUAUAUUGAUCCCUUAAAUUGAGAGAGUUUCUUUUUUAUCCUCCAAAGUUGCAAAACAUCUCAGUAUGGUCACUCGAGCUGAAAAGGCUUCAUUUGGUCCACAAAAAAGAAAAAAAUCUCACUUUUAUUCAUCAAAGUGAAAAGAUUUCAAAUUCGUCUUUCAAACUAAGCUGUCCAUUCCAAAUUGGUCUUCUAAGCCUCUUUGCUAAAGAGAGGGGCAAAGCUACACCUUCCCAAAUAGGAGAAAAUGUACUACAACUAUGAAUUUUUUGAACACUAUUAUAUAUGCUCCCAUUAAUUGUAAGAAAUACAUACAAACAUACUACUUUAUACAUACAUAUAGAUAUAUACAUAUGUCUAUACAUAUAUGUGUAACAACUACUUAUUAUGUUCUAUAAAUGUUAUUAAUUUGUAAGUUAUGUUUAGAAAACGAAGAAGAAUUUGCUCUUUGCCCUACUCAAAGAUGAUUCUAGUUCUGCCACUAAUUGAAAGUAUUAAAUAUUUACUUGUUGUACAAGGGUUUAUUAGCAAAAGGAUAAACAUAACCACAACUAUUUUAAUUUGUCUACAAUAAGUUCUUUGCCAUUAGAUUUUUUAUUUUAAGAAUGGGAUCUUUUUGCUGGUUACUUAUGAUUUUAACAUAGAGAGAUUUGGAGGUUCAUUAAACAAAAAAUUGGUAUGAACUAAUUUAAUUCAACAAAAAAAAAAUGCACAUGUUUAACUAAAGUCAUUGAGGGAAGAGCACUUAGUAGAAAAAUGAAACAACCUUACUUAGUUUUUGUUGUUAUAGUUAUUUAACUGUUAACAAUAAAAUGGAAUUAAGGAGAUCUUGAUUUAGUGGUUAAGGUUGAAAUUCUAAAAUAUACUACUAGUUUUUAGGUUCUAAAUACUUCUAAUUCCACUCCCUCUCUUUCUAAAUCUCUCCUCCUCCCAUGUUAUAAAAAAAUUUUAAAAAACUGUUAAUAAAAUGGAUUUGGUAGACGAAAUUGGAACCUUUUUUAAGUUUGAAGGACCGGAAUUUCAGUGUUAGGGACCAUAUUAAAUAUUGUGCUAAUUUGGAAGACCAAUUAAGAAUGUUUUGCUACUAUAGAAAUCUAAAUCACCAAAUUUAGAUUUUGGAUCAAUAUGGAGGACCAAAAUAAGAUAACAACAGUUUUAUUUCCUGCACUAAAAAUUAAGAUCACACUGCAUAUUCUUUUCACUAAGCACAGCUCACGUCCAUUGUUGUCUUCAUUACAUCAUCUUUCUUCUUCUCUUGACUCAUCUUUUUCAAAUCUUCACCUCGGCCCUCUUUCUUUCCGCUUCUGCUCAGUUGAAUUCAAGGGCUCUACGUCAUGAAUGACCUUCUUAGUGUAAGUUGAUUGUGAUUUCUUGGCUAGAAUUUGAAUGUGUUGAUUUUUUCCUAUAUCAUAAAGAUUGAUCUUGAGUUACUAUUCAUUAUCUUGAUUGUUGAUUUAUUGAUAUCAUGAGGAAGGAUACUUAAUUUAAUGGUUUUUUUAAAACCUCUUAUCUUUCCAAUUUAUGAUAUCAACAUAUUAGGGAGAACCCAUGUGGAAGAAAAUGUUUAAUUUGUUUAUUUGUGAUUAGAUUGCUGAGGGGUUGAUGGAAAAGACAUAAUUUUUAAUGUAAAUUGUUUGUGCUGUUACUGAUCUGGCAAGUUAAGUCAGAUAUGUGUUUUGUUUGGAUCCCAACCCGCAAAAGUAGAGUCUGAUAGAUGUAGUCAUGUAGAGAACAUUUUUUGGUGCUGAAUGAUAAGUGUUAACUGCAAAAGUGGUUAAUAAACUUUCCUUGUUUGUGUAAUAAAGAUGAAUGUGAAGGGAGAAGGUGAAAAGACUGAAACUUUAUUGGUAGCUCAUGUCAAUCUGUUUGAGCUUGAGUUCUAUAUGGCUUUCGCAGAUGAAGUGACGUAUAUGUAUAUAAUUCCGUGGUGCACAUAGGAUGCAAAGAAAUCACAUUUUCCUCUUCUCCUGGCCUGUUUCAGGAUUCGUUUGUUAGCGAUGAGCAGCAUCCAACCAGAGGACCGGACAUUGAGAUGGGCACUCGGCUUACAAGGAAUAAUUCAGACUUGGGAAUGGAAGCUUUUAAUAAACAGGCAUGAAAUUUAGGCCUAAUUUUUUUUUUUUUUGUAGUAGUUGUUCAUAGUGGCUAUUAAAACUGGGAGGUUUUCUGUCCCAUUUAUGUUUUUUCAGUUUUCAUGAUUGGCCUUUUCAUUCUUGUUCUAGAUACAAGAGGUUGAUAAACAGGUGGACAAACUCUCUGAGUUACUGAAGAAACUCAAGGUAUGCGACUUUUCUCAGCAAGGAACUAUUCAGCUAAACAUUCAGUGUGUACAAGUAAUUUUAUUUGUUUAAUCAAAGGGUUCUAUCCUUUUUGUAUUUGAGGUGAAUUCGAAAUUCCUUGGCAUGAGACAAUUUACUGAAAUGAUGUUGCUAAAAAUUUCUGUUCUUUUACUAGGAUCUGUCUUAGUUUUGGACUCUGAUUUUAAAUCUGUGGCAUAACUAUGUUUCCAGAAUUGUGUGGUUCACAAACUGACAUGCACAUCUAAAUCUUUGAAAACCGAUUUUAGAAUUGUCGAUUUGACGAAGUAGAAUUUUUUUUUAAAAGAUUUUUGGCAAAAAUUAGGAUUUUCCAUCUUAAGAGUUUUGUCAGAUUAGAGCCUGCAAGUCAAAGGUGCAUAGACAUCUGUGUUAUUCCUAGUUUACAGAGGAAAAUAGUGAAGUUCAAAAUUUGCAGCAGGGGCAACUGCCCUUCUUAACCCCCAGGCUUUCCAUCAUUGGUUGUCUUAAGAUAAUACCAGAUAUGUGUUGAUCUAUCAUUGUCUUAAAAUUUCUUGCUUGGAUGUGGAUGAGCUUUGAUACUUGGGUUGUCUUCUCCUCCCUUAAAACUUCCCUCUGUUGCCUUCCUUUCUUCCUCUGCUUAUCUGUGAGGAGCUGAGGUAUCAAGAUUGAAUAUGCCUGGGAAAGGAUAUGUUCUUCUUUCAGGACUUUCAGGAGAGGUAUCUUUUGGCCUACCAUGCUAUGUAGGACAUAUAAGUUGAAGAUUAAAGUUGAUUAAAUUUUGUGAAACUUAUAGUCAUUUAUGCAAUUUGCUGCAUAGAAACCAAGGCAAUACCGCUGAAAAUGCUAAGACUAACAAUGCUGGCAUUUGUAAGAGAGGAUGGAAGAGAAUUGAAUGCUCUGACAAGGGAAGGUUCCAAGCUUUUAUAUGAUUUUGAAUAUCAGGAUUUCACUGGAAUUAGUGCUAAUUUGAAGGACAUUGAAGUGAUAAAAUAGAAAGCUUUUUGAUAUAAAUGACUUGGGAGUCAUGGUAUUGUUCUAGAAAGUUGAUUCAGCAUGAAAGGAUUAGUAUAAAAAAAGAAAAAGGAACAAUUAAGCAACAAGAUGCGGUUCAAUGCAUGUUGUGUGUAUUUUCCAACAAUUAAUUUCUUGCCAUGCUCAAUUUGAUACUCCUGACUGCCAAUGGGUCUUCUGUGUGAACACUAACUUUAAAGAUCAAAUUGGUCAAACUCACAGGGUAUGACUGAGAAACAUCAAAUGUUUGAAAGAGCCUUUGGUAUAUAAUGGCAUAGAUUUCUUGCUUAAUACUACGGAAGGAUGAACCUUCUACGGUCAUAUGAAGUCAGGUUAGAGUCAUUUAGGGUCAAGAAUGCUCAUUUGAAUUGCUAUUUUUUUCACGGUGUUCCUAUAAAAAGGUUGGCUAUGUUAUUUGAAGCAUGGGUUGAGCGUAAUGCUGUAUUACCUUGUGGCGGGACUCAAAAGUUAGUAGAGCAACAUUCUCCUAUAAGGAGGCAUCUCAUGAAUGAGGAAAGGUAUCUUAUUGGAAGGGGAAAUAUAUACCGGUACAUUGAAGACUAUAAUGAAGAAUUAUAGAAGAAUGUGAGUAAUUAUCAUUUUCAUCAUCAAGUAAAUGCUUGCCUUAUGUGGGGCACAGAAUGCUUGGGAAAGUUAAUAUCCAUGAAAAUGCAUGAACAUCUAGAGAUGCAUAAUAUAUCUGUGCAAGAAUAUGUUUGUUUUAAUGGUCGAUAGUGGAUUCCUUGGUUCCACAAGAGUGGAGUAUCGUUCUGUAUUUGUAUUUAUGUAUAUUUCCUGGAAAGUAAAGUUCGCAAGAAACUUAAUAUGUGCGCAACCUUGUGUACACAACAAUAGAUAUGAGUAAAUGUUUGUGUGUUUAUACUUCUUGGCAUUGUCCUGAUUGUUGAAUAAUGUUCAUUAGAGUUCUAUUGUUGUAAUUUUAUGUUUUUUCAGUGGAAAUGGUUGACUUUGUUAUAGAUUGAUGUGCUUUUUAUCUUGAAAAUGAGGUGGUUUAAGUGACAGAUGCAAAAAUGGGUUUGUAAUUGCAUCAUCUUUGUGCUCUGUCUAAGAACAUAGAAGACAAAUUUAAGCCUCAGUGUAAAAGGAGAAUAUUGGUUUUUUGGCUUGUGGUAGUUGUCUGCUCAUUAACUAUCUUCCUCUGGGUCCACGUACCCAUUUCCCAGUCAAGAUUUUGGAGCAUCCUCAUUGUGACACACCUCCAAUUUUCAUGUUUGCUUUCGGGCUGAAUGCUUUAUAUGCAGCAUCCUGCUUGUUAGUAGUUGAGCAGUAACUUACCUGGUCGUACUUUAUUCAGCCAUUGUAGAAAUUCUGUACUUUAUCAGUGUGUAGCCAUUAAUAACCAUGAACUUUGAACUUCUAAUUGUACACAUUAUAAGGAAAGGAAUGACAAAAGUUAAUGAAGGUGACCAACAGUUAUAUUAUGUUUGAGCCUAUAUGCACGGGAUCCACCUUUGCCUCUCAAUGCUGGCAUUACUGGUUCCCCUAUGAAGACAUGGAGUACAAGUUUUAGUUUAUUAACUGUGCCUACAUUUGCAGGAGGCUAAUGAGGAAUCAAAGUCAGUUACAAAGGCCUCGGCUAUGAAAGGUGGAAUAGUCUUUUCUCGUUUACUUCUAAUGAUCACAUAUCUUUUAGAUUCUGAGUGCUACAAUACAUUGACGCUUUGAGGCAUCUAGCUAUCUGACGGGCAUAUGGCUUCAUUAUUCCAAUCAAGCACAGCAUAUUGAUACGACCACAAUUUAGUAAUACAAGCUAUGAUGAAAGAAAUUGUCAAAAAGCUUAGUGCAGAUUGAAGUAGAUGAGAAACUGUGUGCUUGCCUCUUUUGUAUCAUUUGUUUGCAGUUUUUAGCUCUUUUUGAAAAAAAGUUGAAUAUAAAAUGGAUCCAAUCAAUCAUCUGGUAGUAAUUAUUUUAUUGUCCUCAAAAUUUGUUUAUUCUUGCAGCCAUCAGGAAGCGUAUGGAGAAAGAUGUUGAUGAAGUGGGGAAGAUUGCACGUGGAGUAAAAGGAAAAUUGGAAGCAUUAAACAGAGACGUAAUCAUCUAUUCAUCUUAUUUUGGAUCUCCACCAGGUUUCAGCAUGCAUAUUGUAACAGGACUGUGAACUCGUUUUUUGUCUCUCCAGAACCUGGCAAAUCGACAGAAGCCUGGGUGUGGGAAGGGAACUGGUGUUGACAGAUCAAGAACAAAUAUGACAAAGUUUGUUGUGCUUGCUUAAUUCAAUUGUCAUAUUCAAAUGGUUUUGAGUUUUGUGCUAGAAUGAAAUGUAAAAUAUUUUUCUGAAUGCAGUGCCCUAACAAAGAAGUUUAAGGACUUAAUGAUAGAGUUUCAGGUAAAAUUACAAGCUUAUGUUAUUGAUUGAUAGUCUUUGUCUUUUUUUUACGACAAUCCCUUAUUCCCUGUAUCUACUUUGGGACUCAUAAAAGAACAUUGUACCAGAAUUUGAGACAAAAGAUAGAUGAUGAAUAUCGUGAAGUUGUGGAGAGGAGGGUGAUUACAGGUUUGAAUAACUUUAACUUGCACUAUUGGCAUAUCAUAUUAAGUGUCUUUUGUUUGGUUUGAUUGGAUUUCUCUUCACCAUCUUGAUAUUAUAGCUUCCUGAUUGCAGUCACUGGAACCAGACCAGAUGAGGAGGUAAGCCUAAUACCUGUACUACAUUUAAAUUGGAUAGUACUGGUGGCUUAACAUCAAUUUUGACUGCGUCAGACAAUUAACCACCUGAUAGAAACCGGGAGCAGUGAACAAAUAUUCCAGACGGCUAUUCAAGGAAUGGGACGAGGACAGGUACUCAUGUUUGGGUUUUAGAUACGACAAGCAUUUGUUUCCUUCUGCAAAUGUUGAAGUUGUGUAAUCUAAUGCUUGUGAAGCUAAAAUUUUUGCUUAUUUGAUAAUCUGUGUUUAUCCCACCCCGUUCCCCUCUUUUAGAUAAUCUUCUUGGACUCCAGUUUGAUCAUCUCAAGCUUACUUGAUUCCUGUUAUGAAAAUAAAAUAAGCUAGAAAGAAGAAGAUAAAUAGGUUUUCUAUGUGUUGGUUGCACGUUGUGACCUAGUGAGUUCAUUUACUGGUGUCAGAUGAUCGGUAUAUCUCUCUAUAGGACAACAUUGUUAACUACAAACCAUUAUGGAGUGCCUUGAAUGAUGGUUCUAUUCCUUCAUUUGUCUACUCUUUGAACAGUUUUUGGAGGAUAUAAACUGUUCAUUACGUCUAAUACUUCUGAGAUGCUUUUACUAUAGCCCAAGAAAAAGUUGUUUUCGUUUCUCUGUGUCUGGAUGCUGCUGACUAUUUCUUUAAUGGUCUGGGUUUCUUGAAGUCAUGGGCCCUGUACCUUAGCUUAAAUUUAAGAUCAAAAGCAUGCUAGAGUAUUCAAAUUCGUUUGGGCCUGUAUUUGUGCUUCUAUAUACCAAUGUGCCCUCUUGUUCUAAUAAUUCUUAUGCAACUUUUUGAUUCCAUUUCUGAAUUAAUGAACACUGCCACGUCGUUAAGCUCUGUAGGUAAGAGGCACUUUGUUUUCUAGCCGUACCUUGGCUAAACCAAAUCCUGAUCAUCCAAGACAUUUCUCAGCUUUAACUUGUUCUAGAGAUUCUGCAAACUUAGUUCCAUGUUUUUACCGCUUUAAAGGGAGUGAACAAGGAGGAGUUGAAACCUCACUCAGUUUGAUCAAAUUGAUAAAUAGGAAAUGGGGCUUCAAUUUGUUUAACAGAGUGCAGAUGAGCUCGUGUUAUUUAACAACUGGAAUUCCAGACUUGAGUGUUAUAAACACUUUGAGGAGAGAGAGGCGUAUGAAGUUAUGUGUAGUAUUAGGGUAAUAAGUGAUCAUGCACUUGGUUUUUUAUGAACUUUUGAACCUUAGAACAAAGUUAUUCUGGUAAGGAGCUUGCAUACAAAGGAACCUCAUUGGGUUGUGCCUGUCUCUUGCCCACAUUUCAAAUGGUUGAAAAUUCGGGGUACUCUAAAUAAUAACUGACACCAAAUGUGUGAAAUUGUAAUAUUACCUUCGACACACAGCAAAUUGCCCAGAUAUACUCUACUAUAUGAACUAAGAAGUAUGGAUUUCAAUACAUGGAACCAUCUCCAAUGUUGUCUGCCAGUGAAAUCAUAACAUAUUGCACUUUCUAGAACCCACAGUGACACGAAUCUUGUUUGGACUUCCCCUGGAUAAACUCAUAGCUGUGACUCUUUUCAUUGUUUUAUAUUCCAUGGUUAACGUAUUACAUAUCACGCAAAUGGGUUUAACUCAAAUUUUCAUGGUCUUUAUGGAGUAUCAAUGUCUUGAUUUCAGGAUACAUAGUAAAAGUAUGUAAGCAUCGAAAUAAACCAAAAAAAGGUAGCCUUCUAAUGAUAUGAUUAUAGAGUUUUCUUACAGCUAAAUCACUCCCUUUGUCUUGGAGAUAUUGAUGAGUAAAAUUUUAGUAAAAGAUUGGCAAAGAUUCUGGUGAAGCUGAAACAGUUUUUCUUGUCUUUUUCCUUUCCUGAGCUUCUUAGUUUGGCCAUCUCUGAACUUGUAUAAUUUUUCUCUACUGAUUAUAAGAUGUGGAAGAAAUCUUGGGACAAAGGCACAGUCAUGUUCUCUGAUUCUGAUAGUGAAUUGGUCCUUCUAAUUCAUACUCCAAUUUUUUGAGGCCUGUAUUACCAAUUCUGAUUCUUAAUCUUGCCCAAUGUAUAGUUGGAUGAGUUCUGGAUCUUGCCUCUAUAUAUCUCUACACUAAGUUUUGAUCAUAUGCUUGUUAUUUUCGAAUAAGAGCCUUCAUGAGUUCUUCCUUUUCUCAAAAUUAUUUUUUGUUCUUCACUUGGAAACUUAAAACUCACAUUUCGUUUGUUUGUUCCUUCUCGUUUCUGAUGUUGUAUGCUUUGUAUUUUGGACCUGAUAAAGACUCGUUGCAGGUGCUAAACACCUUAGAAGAAAUUCAGGAGAGACAUGAUGCUGUCAAAGAAAUUGAGAGAAAGCUUCUUGACCUGCAUCAGGUUGUUAUCUUUAAUUCCAUAAAGCACUAGAGAGCCUUCUUUUUCUCAUAGCCUUUUGUUUGCCCUGCGAGAUCUGAACCUUUAAAAACCACUUGUUUGACAUGACUGUAUUCUGCAUCAGAUUUAUCUUGAUAUGGCUGUCCUAGUUGAAGCUCAAGGAGACAUGCUGGAUAACAUCGAAACUCAGGUUUCAUUUCGAUCUUCCAUCAUUUUUAUAGAUCUAAACAUACGAAGCUACAAAAUUCGACGUGAAUUGCAUUAUGCCGUGUUAACGGGGAUCUUGUUCAGGUGUCAACUGCAGUCGAUCAUGUCCAAAGUGGGACAACUGCACUUCAGAAUGCAAAGAAACUUCAGAAGAAGUCUCGAAAAUGGAUGUGCAUUGCCAUUAUUAUUCUCUUAAUAAUAGUAGCUAUUAUAGUUGUUGGGGUAAUUAAGCCCUGGAAGAGCAAGGGUGCUUGAGUUUGAGUCCUUUUUUUUUUUUUGUGCAUUCAAGUUGCCUCCAUAUAGAUGUCUGUAAUUUUAGUUGUCAGAAAAGCCUCUCACUUCCGGCCAUUCUUGUGUGUUUGUGCAGUUUUAUCUCCUGCAUUGUCUGAUUUUCUUCUUCUUUUUUUCUUGUUCUUUAUAGUUUCAUCACUUGUGUAAUAUAUUUGUUUUCUUGAUGAUGCUGAUUUGGUUUGCCAAUUUGUAUGUGAGUUGCACAGUUCAUCCUUCUAUCAUGAUGAAAAAGUAAGUGGCAUUCAUUUGUGACUAAUUCUUUGAACGUGUCUUGGCUUCUUUAAUUUCACAAAAUAACAAACAAAGGAUAAAAGCAAGAAAGAUUUUCUCUUGUGGAUUUUUUUUUUUUUUUUUUUUUUUUUAAAAAAGGGGAGUAGAUAAUUUAAUUUUCUUGAUAUGUUUAAGAAAAUUGUUCACAUAUGGUUUCAAGUAUGAGCAGACACCGUGUGGUCAAAGUGUGUUCUAACUUCUACAUCAUCAAGCAAAGACUAAAGAGGUACCUAGUUUCAACCCUUUGACCUCUACCCCAAAUAUUUACCUGUAUUAUAAGAAAACCUUUUAAUAUAUUUUUAAACAUUUUUUUAAAAAGUUUUUUCCUGAUAUUUUACAGUCUUUUGUAAAUACUUCAUUUUAAUUGAAACUAUAAUCAUGAAGGAUUCAGACUUCAACUUUUGGAUCCUACUGAUACUCCCUAAAGAAGAUGGAAUGCUAAAAAUUUGUUUGGAUUGCGAUUUUUUGUACAAAAUUUUUUACGUUUUUCGUGAACAUAUUUUUUAAUUAUUUUUUUAUUCUACAUAUAUCAAAUUAUUAUGAUACAUUUUUUUUUUUCAAAAACUUUUAAAAAUAGCAAUAAGUACUAAUUUAUGCAAGUAUUUGCCUUCUAUCAGUUUUCUAUCAUCAAGUGCCAAGCAUAACCUAACAGCGGAGAAGACUUUAAGUGCUCUCUCCUAAGUCGACCCAGUGAUUUUUCUACUAGUAGCUUUCAACAAUAUUAAGUCUCUCCUGAGUCGACCUAGUGGUUUUUUCAUUAGUAGCUUUCAACAAUAUUAAGUCCGUAAUAUAUCACCUUUACUUUUCAGGUAUUUAAUCCUUGAGGAUGUCGAUUUCAGCUAUUUUUACUGUCUUUUGAGGAUUUCUUUGGGCCAAAUCAAAAUUUCUUGGGUCAGUGGAAAUGGCCAGGUUUUCUUUUGAAUUUCAAUGCGUAUACACAGAAAUUAAGUCUUACUUUUUGAAGGAAAUGACAAUGUUCCAAUCCAAUUUGUUCAACACUUCAAUUUUUUUUUCUUUUGUAUUAGUAAUAAGAAAAAAAAAUAAGAAUUUCCUUGUAGGUUUUGCUUAGUCUAGUUACUGUACAAAUGAUCUAGCCUAAUGAUUAUGGACUCUUUUCUUUAGGUUCAAUUUUUGGACGGGAUCAAGGGUACAUUUUUGCAAUUUGCAUCUAUUAAUCAUCUACAGUACUUAAUGUUUUACCUACUUAAUUCAAAAUGAGUUGAAUCUUGCUCAGCAUUAUGGUCCAAUUUGACCUGAAUCAAUUAUAAUAAGUAAGCAAUUACUUCUUUAAUUCUUUUUAUUGAGAAGGAGACAUUUGCUGGCUUACAUUUAAGGUACGGAUUUAUCCUGUUCUUUAGAAAAGACCCUUGUUUUUUCCACCUUCUGAUUCCCCUUAUCACCAAAUUUUCUUGAUUUAUUUCUUACAUCCACAUUUGGUUCAUUUUUAAGCAGAUAAAAAAGAAAGUUGUUUCUAUGAGCACCCUUGAAGAUGAGACUUUUAAAUAUUCUUAUUUUUUUUUAAAACGCUCACGGGGAAAUAUAAUUCUUGGAAAACCUCAAAAAAUAAUUUAGGGGUUACUUUUUUCAUUUUAUUUUUUUUCAAGUUGCUCUGAAAAAAAAAUUAAACCCAAAUAGAAUUAGCAAAUCAUAGUUCUAAACAUAAAAUCCAAUUUGUAAGCAAUGCUGAUCAAUAGUUAUACCAUAUCUUGCAUCAAUAUACUCAUAUUUUCUUAUUUUCUUGUAUAACAAAUGAAAGUACUAUGGAUAUUUCAAGUGGCCAAGGGUAGAUGAAUGCAGGUUCACUUCAGAGCACAAAUUAGGCUUUUGUACUAUAUAAAUUAUUCUUCAAAAUAAAUUUUGGACCAAAACUUUAACUUAAAUUUCAUUUUUUUUUGGUUAAAAUAUGAUUUUCUACUUAGCUCUUUUGAUUUAGAGAGAGGUUAUUUCGUUUGAUUAAAAGAAAAUCAUAUUCCAAUGCUAUUUCUUAACCUUCUCUUAUAAACCUCAAAACCUCUAUCAUUGGGUCCUGUUUCUGGCUCUAUAGGUCAAGAAUAUGCAUUAUUUUGGGUGUAAACCAACCCAAGAAAAGAUACUAUAUUAAUUGUCAUAAUAUAUAUGUACAUGUUUAUCUAUAUAAAUCUUGAAGGAGUAUAUGCAUUUGUGUUUUAACAUGAAUUUCUUCAUUUUUCUUGGGACUAAAUGCUUGCAUUUUCAUGUGGUUCUUGAAAUAUUCUGCCCUCUCACAUGGCCACUCCUUAAAUUUAGCCAUGUAAAAUUCUAGUUUUUUUUUUUAUCCAAUUCUUAGUGUGUGUCUGUGUUUUUAUUGCUUUUAAUUUUCUUUUUCAUUUUUUUGAGGACCAUUGCAGCAUUUCUCUAUCUAAGACUUCUUUGUUUUGCAUAUGUAAGGCUUCUUUUUUAUUAAUUUGUCCAUAAAAGUGAGGAGGAUGACAGGUGCAAUGUACCAUACUUAUUUAGGUUAUUAAAUUGGUAGGUUGUAGCCAAUUUCAAAUUGAAUUGGCCCAUCAAUAGUUGUUUUUUAUUUUAUUUUUAUUUUUUAUGAAAGACCCAUAAAUAGUGGCUACACUACAAAAUUGUCAAAAUUUGUCCAACCAGGAAUUCAUCAAUGAACACCACUAUAGUGGUCAUCAUCUACAUUUUAUACAGUCAAUCAUUAUUUGUAUUUUCUUUACUUUUUUCAAUAUAUAUAUAUAUAUGCAUAUAUACAUAUUAUGUUGGUAAGCUAUAUAUAUAAACUUAUAUAGCUUUAGCUUGAUAAGAAUACACAAAUCAAGGGGUAAAAUUCUUAAAAAAAUACAUAACACCUCUUAACUAGUAACUGCCUACAACUUUUGCCAACUUUUUUAUAUUAUAAUUUAUGAACUUUCGAUUAAUCUUUUGUACUCAUCAUCCUGUAAUACCAUUUUACAUGAGAAUAUUUAUUAUUUUUUUUGCAACAUAAUGUGGAAAUCAUUCAAUAAUGUAUCUUAUCUUAUGGAGUCUGCUAUCUAGGAUUUGUUAUUUCUGUCAGAGUUUGCCAGGAGCUGCAUGAUACUAAUUUACUCAUCUAAUUACAUUUUUUAGGAACAUAAAGAAACUAAUAGCUAGGUUAGAAGAAAUGUACUAGAAAAACAAUUCUCAUGUUGCUUUUCUAAGACUUUCUGUAGAUUGAGAUGGUCUUCAGCCACCUUGUACAAUUCAUUCUUUUUUUGCAGUAUUAGCAAUUGGUCCAAGAAAAAAUUGCAUCCACAUUCUGCACUAAUGGUUGGAUGAUUGAUGUUUUAGGCUCAUUGGUACGUUUUAUGGUAUCUUUGUAGGUUAGAAAUGCAGUGGACCAUGUGCACAUGGGAACAGAUGCUCUUCAAACUGCUAAGAAUUUGCAGAAGAAAUCAAGAAAAUGCAUGAUGAUUGCCAUGAUUUUGUUUCUGGUUAUUGCAGCAAUAAUCGUAUUAUCCAUCCUGAAGCCUUGGAAGAAAUGACAGCAGAUCAAACAACUAAUGGUAACUCUAGUGCUAAAUUUGUUGUCCAAUUCUCUUGUUACACAUACCACUUUCUCACAUGUAUGGUAUCCAGAUUCUUUUUGAUUUCUUCAUCUCCCCAAUAAUCCCAAGGUGUCUGUAAGAUUAUUAUCAGAUACAGCCUCCAAUGAAUGAAUAUAACACAAGAAUUUUUUCGUUCCAGUGCUCUCAGAACCCCUAAGCGUUUGUUUCUUCCUCAAAAGAACAAAUUCGUGGUAACAUGCACUUUUUCUUUUCCAGCUGAGUUCUCACAUCAAUUUUUGCCCUAUUACUCAGAUGAUCUGACUUAGAUCAGACAAGUCUAAAUUGUUUGGUUAUUGUGGAGAAUAUGACAAAAUCAUAGUCUACCUCAUUCUGCUAAUUCUGGAUGGUCCUUGCAUAAUCUGGAGUUAACUAGUUUGGUUUGCUUUAAAAAGCAAAAAAAAAAAAAAAUUGGCGAUGUAUGAAACUUUAGAGGUAGCUUCUUGAACCAUUUGGCAUUUCUCUUACUGUUUGAGGACAAAAGAUUUGAGCUGCUUCUAAAGCCUAGUUAUGUGAUAAAAACUAAAAGGGUACUGGGAUCUAUUUUAUGUAUUGCAAAGGAAACUUUAAGUAUCUGUAUCUAGCUUUUUUGCAUUAUCUGAAUAGUGGGUACAAAUACAAUCUGUGGCAAGUAUUCUAGGAGAAUCAUCCAUCAAAGUACAUUUGAUCUUUUUCAAAGUCAUGAUGUGGUUGCUGAGCACUGAUUGCAGGAUGAGCUUGACAAGUUGUAACAUAUAUAUUCCAAUCAAAUGGAUUCAAGUCUCAAACAGAUGCACUUAAAGCAUGAGACUAUCCAACAAUAUUUGGACCCAAAAAAGUUGGCCAUGAUAAUCCAAUCACCUAUGAAAUUAUUGAAAGCAUAAAAACACAUAUUAUUAUGCACAGUUCAAGAAAUGGAAACACAUAAUUGUCAAGCUUUCCCAUCAUUAUACUCGGAAAUUCUCUCACAAUCUUGACUUUGCAAUGACAACGCUAGCAGCAUCACCAAUGUCUGUUGCUCCUGGCCUAGUCCAUGUAUCUUUGAACUGCUCUUCUGUCACUCCUGUGUAAUUAAUGAAUCUGUUAGUCUCUUUUCUGCUCCUAAGAUAUGAAACUAGGACAUGAAUGUAAUAUACUGAUAAUAGUGAAGAAACAAAAAUUAGAAAGGGGAGGAUGUGAUUUGCCUUUGCCCAUAGCAGCAGUGGAAGUGAUGCCUCCCUGGACCGUCCUCAGGACUCUGUCAUAGUAAUUUGCUCCAGACCAUUUCUGAUGGGCUAGUGUAUCAACCUCAUGGUUCCUUUCCUCUCUUUGAAUUUUCUCCACAUAUGCAAGCAUUCCUCUUCUUGCAAAAUCCUUAGCAAAUGUGUCAACAAUAAGAGCAUCAGCAUGGAAACCAGCCACGGUAAUGAACUGCCAACAAUAGCCCAAUUUGGCAAUUCUGGGAAUGAAAUCUCUCAUCUGCUCAUCAGUCAUUCCUGAUGCAUCCCAGUUGAAAGAAGGUGAGAGAUUGUAAGCCAACAUGAUCUCAGGGCACCUGGACCUCACUCCUUCAGCAAAUUUUGUGCAUUCAACCAAGUCAGGGCCAGCAGUCUCCAUCCAAAUUAGAUCAGCGUAUGAAGCAAAAGCCCAGCCACGAACAAUAGCAGCCGUCACAGAUCCCUUAAAUCUGUAGAAACCCUCUCUGGUUCUAGGCAGGUCCCAAUCCCAGAAAAUAUUAAGUCCCAUUCUUUCAGCAAUCAGUCUUCCUUCCUCGUUUGACAAGCAUUUCUCGAAACUUGAAUGAUACAUCCACUCGUCCAACCUCCUCUGCUUCUCAGCUUCACUGAUAUUCAUCCUCUUGAUUCCAUCAACUACACAAUCAGAAAAUGUUUUCAAUCGUGCCAUUGAUAGCCAGUUAUCCUCAAUAGCUUGAAGCUCUGGUCCUGUUUUACCAGCAGCCAUUGCUUCACCUAGGAUAGUGGCUAAACUCUUCCCCUUGAGUUGUGGAUUAGUAACACCCAAAAUGAACUGAUGAUCUCUAGUAUCAACAUUGGUUUGGAUUAAUGUUGCGGCUUCCGCAUCGGUACGAGCAACUAAAACUGUCUCUGUACCCAUGAUAUCAAAUUGUAGCCUGGCAGCAACCAGCCUAUUAACGUGUUCACUCACUGCAACAAGAACUUUGCCAGCCAUGUGACCGCAUUUUUUGGUAACGGAGGACUGAUCCUCAAUAUGGACUCCAGCAGCUCCACGUUCCACAAAAAGCUUGCAAAGCUUGACAGUUGCAGUUGCACCACCAAAUCCAGUAUCGCCAUCAGCAAUGAUGGGCUUCAAGUAAUCAAUAUAUGGAGUUCUAGCCCUCUCUUCACGGCUCAUGCCCAUUCUGGCCUCCCUUUGUUUCCUGUCAUGGUAUUGUUGAGCGAAAAAAAGGUGCUCAACCUUGUUAGGAACGGUAUCAUAGGGAUAAUCAGCAAGGUCAGGUCCUGGUUCAUUUGAGGUAGUGUGGGUGGAUGAGCAUUGCCAGCCAGAGACAUAGAUGGACUCCAGAUGCUUGGCCAUCAUGGUGACUUGAACAGGAUCAAGAGCACCAAAGGUUCUUGAUGCUGUGCCAUUGGCCUGGUGAGUUUUG